CCUCCAUUUCUAUUUAGUUGUGAUCAUUUUAGGUUUUACGCCCCUUAAAAAAUAACGUUAGUUUAUCAUUGUAUUCUUAUUUAGUGUUAUCUUGAAAUUAAAUAUUCAAUAAAUGAACCUAAUUUGAGAGGCUCAUUUUUUUAAAAAAAUUUGAAACAUAAUUUUUGUACAAGUAGUGAGUAAUAAAUGAAUGCAACAUCAAUCAACGAUUUAACAACACACUAGUACUCUAGCAACAAACUAGCUUAUGGACCAAGAAAAUAAAAAUGAACAUCUAAAUUUACUCUAUUUUAACCUGAGAUAACUGAAGAUUGGUCUCUCUGGGACAUUUAUGCACUUGACAAGCCAACCAAUUGGCCAAGAUGCAGCUGCAAAUCCAAUGCAGAUUCCCCAUUGCCCCCAAUUCAGCCUCUCUGUAUUUGCAAACUUCUUUAGAAACUCAACCAUCACCACUUGGAGAACCAAUGUUAUUCCGAUGAUGGCCAUGAACAACUUGUUCUUGUGUAUUCCCUUAAAGACAUUCUUCUCCUCCAGGUUUCGUGCGUUGAAUUCAUUGAACACUUGGCAAAGAACAAACGUGUUGAAAAACAACGUAUCGUUUACCUUCUUGCUAACACCAAAGAUUGAUUCUCCUUUGAAUUGUAAGGUUGAUAAAACAGCAAUCUGGUAUGAAGCUUGAGCCAUUAGAUUCCUCCACAUAAUAUUCGUGAUAAGUGGUGCUGUCCUACCGACUGGUUUCUUCUUCAUGACUUCCUCGGUUGGCUUCUCUGUAGCAAGUGCUAAUGCCCCUAAUGUGUCCAUGAUCAAAUUUACCCAUAGCAAUUGUACUGAUGUGAGUGGUUCCUCACCAGACAAAACAGCUGCUACAAAGCUGAUCAUGAGCGCGGCCACAUUUGCUGUGAGCUGAAAUUGGAUGAAUUUCUGGAUGUUGAUAUAGAAACAUCUUCCCCAUUUCAGAAUUGUGACAACUGAAGCAAAAUUAGCAUCUAAGAUGACAAUAUCAGAACUCUCUUUAGCUACUUCAGUCCCCUGAAUCCCCAUAGAAAGUCCUAUAUCUGCUUCCUUUAAAGCUGGUGCAUCGUUUGCUCCAUCACCUGUGACCGCAACCACAUGACCUUUCUUUCUCAAGCACUGCACCAUUAGAAGUUUGUCAAAAGGGGAUGAUCUUGCCAUCACGCAUAUCUUCUCCACUCUCUCCAUCCGUUCUUCAUCUGUGAGGCUGCGAAAUUCUUCACCUUCUAUGACUUCUCCUUCAUCUACUUCCUGAUUAGGAUGAAGAAUCCCACAUUCUGUUGCUAUGGCUUUUGCAGUGAAAACAUUGUCUCCAGUGAUCAUCUUGAUGUUCACACCAGCACUUUGGCAAGCUUCCACUGCUUUCUUCACACCUGGUCGACAUGGAUCUUUUAGGCCAACAAAGCCCAAAAGAAUGAAAGAGUUGUCUGGAACAUUUCCAUGCAUAUGUUCAUUAUCCUUCUGCUCAGCUUUUGGCACUUGCUUGUGUGCGAAUGCGAUACAUCUCAGGCUGCUGGCAGCCAUUCCUUCAAUUAUCCUGUCACAUUCUUCCUUAUCUGAUUCCUCUAGAGGUUUUACGUUCCCUUCUAGAUCAUAGUAAUGGGAGCACAUUCUUGAAAUCAUUUCAGCAGCACCUUUCCAAUGUGCAUGAAUUGUGCCAUCACUGUUGUUCUUGAUCAGGACACCACUCUUCUUUUUCUCUGAAUUGAAAGCUUCCACAUGUAGAAUGUUGAAAUUUCUUUUGAUUUGAUCCAUCUCCAUAUUCAAUUCCGUAACAGCCCAUGAAAGAAUAGCUUUUUCAGUAGGGCUGCCUGAGAACUCAAAGUUGGAAGAUGGAUCGGAGGACUUGAAAACACUACCUGUAGUGUUUAAUCCAACCCCUUGAUGGAAUAGUUCAAGAACUUUUGCCGAAAUUGAUGUAUGAAUUUCUGCCAUGGCUUUUGCAGUGAAAACAUUGUCUCCAGUGAUCAUCUUGAUCUUCACACCAGCAUUCUGGCAAUCUUCCACAGCUUUCUUCAUGCCAGGUCGACAUGGAUCUUUUAGGCCAAGAAAGCCCAAAAGAAUUAUAGAGUUGUCUGGAACAUUUCCAUGCAUAUGUUCAUGAUCCUCCUGCUCAGCUUUUGGCACUUGCUUGUGUGCGAAUGCAAUACAUCGGAGGCUGCUGGCAGCCAUUCCUUCAAUUAUCCUAUCACAUUCUUCCUUAUCUGAUUCCUCGAGAGGUUUUACGUUCCCUUCUAGAUCAUAGUAAUGGGAGCACAUUCUUGAAAUCAUUUCAGCAGCACCUUUCCAAUGUGCAUGAAUUGUGCCAUCACUGUUGUUCUUGAUCAGGACACCACUCUUCUUUUUCUCUGAAUUGAAAGCUUCCACAUGUAGAAUGUUGAAAUUUCUUUUGAUUUGAUCCAUCUCCAUAUUCAAUUCCGUAACAGCCCAUGAAAGAAUAGCUUUUUCAGUAGGGCUGCCUGAGAACUCAAAGUUGGAAGAUGGAUCGGAGGACUUGAAAACACUACCUGUAGUGUUUAAUCCAACCCCUUGAUGGAAUAAUUCAAGAACUUUUGCUGAAAUUGUUGUAUGACUUUCUGCCUUCACGUGCUGUAUGCCUAAGAAAAACUUUGUGACAGUCAUCUUGUUUAAUGUAAGAGUACCUGUUUUGUCUGUACAGAUGAUGGUUGCAGAGCCCAUAGUCUCACAAGCAGAGAGCUUCCUCACUAUUGCCUUAUCAUCCAUCAUUCUCUUCAUCAGGUAAGCCAGAGUAAGUGUAAUAGCUAAAGGUAAGCCUUCAGGAAUCGCGACAACAACAAUGAUAACAGCAUUAGCAACAAUUCCCACCACAGCAUUGAUCACAUCACCGGAUGAUGUCUUGCUCCGGUUGAAUUUUUUAUUCCCAUUCUCAUCUUUUGUGGUCCCGGUAAAGUAUAGUACCAAUUGGACAACAAAAACCAAGAAGGCAACUAACCAUCCAACUUUAUCAAUUGAUGAAGUGAGCUUUUCGAGUCGUUCUUGGAGAGGGGUGUGCUCGUUAGGGCCACUGCUAAUUUCGCUCAUCAUUUCACCCCAGGUCGUGUUCAUGUUAACCGAUGUCACAAGCAUCAUUCCAUAGCCAUCGACAACCUUAGUGCCAGAAAUCAAGAAUGGAUUUUGGCUGAUAUUAAUCUCUACAUGAUCACUUUCACCUGUCAUGCUAGAUUCAUCCACUUGUAAAGAAUGACCCUGUACCAAAAUCCCAUCAGCAGGGACUUGAUCUCCAAUCUUCAAGCAAAUGACAUCUCCAACCACAAUUUCAAAUAUUGAUAUCUGUUGGCGCCUCCCCUUUCUAACAGCUUCUACUUGAAUAAUUUUGGUCUCUUUAGAAAGCUUAUCAAACUGUCUGGUUUGUCUAAAAUGACUAGUAGACGAAACAGUGACGAAAAGUAACACAGCGACAUAAAUACCCCCUCCAUCACACCAUCCUUCUUUCACUCCAUCCUCCUUAAUUCCCAAUACAAUAGACAGAGCACCCCAGAUCAAAAGUACAAUGAUGGUGGGAUAUUUGAAUGAUUCCCAAACAAAAAUGAAGAAACUCUUAGCAGGUGCCUUACGAUACAUGUUGCUUCCAAAAGCCUCAUGUCUACGUGCAACGUCUUCUGGAUCUCCGCUUACACCAUUAGUUGUAUCAGUUUUGAGAGAAGCAGCAACACCUUGUACACCUCCAAGGUCAGCAAGUUCGUCAGUGUUUUUAUCUUUGACAAGCUUAGCUAGACUUGAGUGAUCAAUGCCUGAGAAAAAAGGGUGGUCUUGAACUACAUCAAUCGCGAUUGUAUCACCAAGUACUUUUGUUGGAUUGUAAGCAGGUGAUCCAUGACUAUAAGAUGGCACAAUGGCAGGUGAUACCUUAUUUUUAAAAGCUCUGGAACAGUAGAUGGUAGCAAACGCUAAGUGCCAUCUUUUUUUGUUGGAGGAUUCAAUUUCUGCUGGAAAAUCAGUUGUAAUAUUGUUCAUGCAGAGAUAACGCAAAUUUUCUUGAAACAUGUUGGAUGGAAAAUGUGUAUAAUAACAAUAAAUUAAAAGGAUAAAAAUAUCAAACAAUUGAUUGAAUGUGUUUUGGAGUGAAGUAGUAAUAAUCCCCUAAAGCUCAACCCGUCCCACACCACCCCAUUGUCAUCUCUACGCGUAAUCAAAUCAAUGAAGUUCUGUUGACUGUACUUCACAGAAAUUUCUACUUCCUGCCUUUGAAAAUGAUACAUUUGGAAUGUAUCUAAUUUUGAGUUUAAUCAGAACUUUACAUGUAAUUAAGUUCUACAAUUUAAUUUUUGGAUAAUUACAACCCUAAACACUUCGGUCAACUACAAAAUGUACACCAUCCAAGAUAUGUAAUUUGAGUUUAAUGGGGGAACUUUACACAAACAAUAUAAUUAGAGUCUUAACUUAAUAUAUAUAUGUUAGCACUUAGCAGUGUAAAAGAUCUUGGCUUUUAUACAGUCAAAUUUUUUUUAUCAGAUAUUACAGCAGAUUAGCAUGUAAUGAUUUCUUAAUUACUGCGAUAUUUCAUUAUUCUGUAGUUAGAAAAACUAUCCAUCUCACAUUAUUUAACAAAAUAAACAAUUUGAUGCACUAAGCUUUUAUUGUGUAUAGAAUUUAGGAAAGGACCAUACCACAUGAGUUUCUUUUUGUUACAAAUUGGUCACACCGACAGAUAACAAUAUGAUCCGUGUGGGGUAGUAUUAAUUAUGAAAUGCAGGGAAAGCAGCCAUUUGUUCGUUUCAAAAUGUGAAAAAACUUAAGAUGGUAGAGACGUAACCAACAAAAAUUGCUUGAGAUUGACCGAUACAUUUGUACUCUUUUAUCUCCAUUUUCACAUUUUUAUCUCUCACUCACCACCCCCACCAGUUCCCCUCAUCUGCACCCCUCUUCUUUUUGUCUUUUUUUUUUUUUUUUUUUUUUUUUUUUUUUACUUUUGUCUUUUUUCAUAUAUUUUUUUUUCACCUAAUGUAGUUCUUUAAAAAUUGAAAUGUGGAAGAUAAAAACAAAAUCCAUUUUUUCGUUUGGUAAUUGAGAAAAGGUUAAAACUAAAAGACAACAAAUCACAUAGUAAUGUAGGGUCCAUACCCAUUAUACAUAAAAUAUAAGGAAAGGUAAAUGCAGGAAAGGUUGAAAGAUUUAUUGCUUAUUGUUAAAGUCAACAAAUGCCGCAACAAACCAAAGCUCACCAUUUAUUUUUCAACUAAAAUCUUACCAAAAAAUCUGCAUAUUUGCAUAUUUGCGAAGGUUGAAUUUUUGGUGUUUUUAUGUUGUUACUAGUGACAUCAUUAGGAGUAGAAUUUUUGGUGUUUUUAUGUUGUCACUAGUGACAUCAUUAGGAGUAGAUUUCUCCUAUAAAUAGAGAGUCCUUACUUAUUUCAAAUACACCAAUUCAUAGAGAAAGAAAAAUAUAGAGAGCUGUGAAGUUUUCAUAGACUAUACAAGUCUUCUAUAAAUGGAGCUCAUUAGCUCAUUUAUAGAAUACACCAAUUCACAGAGAAAAAAAAAUAUAGAGAGCUGUGAGGUUUUCAUAGACUAUACAAGAAAAUAGUCUGUGAAGAAAAAUAGAGUGUGAGCGAUAUUUUAGUAAGGUGAAAAUCAAAAGAGUGUUAUUCCUUUUGAGUGUGUAGUAGUCACUUUGAGUAUUGUAUUCGUGACUACACGAUGUAAAAUUCCUUACUAUAGUGAUAUCAGUUGCUCCUCUUGGCCCGUGAUUUUUCCCUUAUUAAAAAGGGUUUCCACGUAAAAUUCUUGGUAUCAUUAUUUUCCCAUUUUAUUUCUAUCAUUUGGCCAUAUAUAUUUUUGUGUCAGUCCGCCUUUUUUCCCAACAAGUAAAGCAUGCACUACAUACAAAGAAAAUAAUGAGGCUGAUACGAUAAAAUAUAAGUUAAUUUAUUUUAUUUGACUUUUUUUCACAAAAAUUUGGAAACUAUCUGAAUAUUAACGAAAAUACUAGAAUUAGAGAUGAUUGAUUAAGCUAAAUUUAAACAAUUUUUAUAUAUACGUACUUAAAAACAAUUUUUAAGUGCUAAAGUUGAAUUUAGAAAUAAAAAGACAAAAAUGUUGAAGUUGAAAUAAUGUAUUUUUUUUUUUUUUAAAAUGUUAAAUAACUUAUUUGUUAAGAUAACUAAAACGUCUGUAAAAAUUUUAAUAUUCAAAAAUAAACUUAUUAUCCAACAUUUUUAGUAGUAUCAAACAAACUCAAAACACAAAUAAUAGUAUUAGUAAACUAAGUCAAAACUCAAAUUAAUGGCAUUUCAUUCACUUUAGAAUAUAAAUUAAUUAGAUGAAAUUAUUUUUAAUAAAUAUAAAUUAUUUAUUUAACUAGCAUGCAGUAAUUAAUAAUCUGACCAAAAAAAUCAAUUUCCCCAUAACUGCUUAUCCAAAAUUAACAAGCAAACUCAUAAAUAAAAAUAAGAAAAAGAAGAGCUUUUUUCUUCCUUUUUGUAUCGAUUUUAUUUUGUAUGGCAAAUCUAUAAAAUAAAAUGAACUAUUUGUACCAUACAUUAAAAAAAAAUCAAUCAAAAAUUCAAUUUUUUAAUUGUAUUUGGAAGUUGAUUUUAUUAAUAGAUAGAAAAAUGAAAAUAAUAAAAAAUAAAAAAGAAGAGAGAUGAGCGGAUAGGGGAACUGCGUGGGGUGGUGAGUAGGAGGUAAAAGAGUGAAAAUGGACCACAAAUUCAAAUAUCAAAAAUUGAGAAAAUGGACCACAAAGGGAAAGGUUGAACAACACUGUGCGUUCCAGACCUGAUCGAGAAAGAGCGUUAAUAGUUGUGUGUGUCGUACGGGAAACCGAGUUCGCACUCCCAUGUUGCCAACACAACAAAAGGGGCUUUACUUUCAGUAACUUCUUUCACUCGUUCUGUCGUCUCAUUUCAGCUUUCAACCUCACAUAACAAUACCUAGUUUUGAAAUACAGUAAAAUCUUACAAAAUUAAUAUUCAGUUAAUUAAUAAUCUCUCUAAAAUAAUAAUUUUCUCCAAUUCCUACUUGGGACAAGGGAAAAAAUUACCAAUCAUUUCAAUAAGAUAAUAUAAUAUAUUUUCAAAAGACCCAUAUAUAAAUAUAUGAUUCCGUAAAAUAUGAUGCCACAUGUUUUUCCUUUGUGCCAAAGAAUAUGGGUCCCGCGUAUUCUUUUGGCUCAAGUAAUUUUGACAUAUAAAUUGCUCAUUACUACACAUAUCAGCCAUGGUACAUUUGGGAAAAUCUUAGUAGCUAAGUUAGUUGACUAUCUGAACGGCUGAACUCACACCUUGCUGGUGAGAGUUCAAUUCCCUAAUUCCCUCCCAAUUCCGCUUUCUCCACCCCAAUUUUUAUUUUUUUUUUGAAAAACCACGGUACAUUUUACUAAUUUUAUUAUCAAUUGUUAAUGUAAAUAAAUAUUUCAAAUAACACUUUACCUAAAGUGAGAAAUCACUUAUUUUCCUUGAAAAUAUUUUCAGAGAAAACAUUUACUUUGUACCAUAUACAAUUGUCUAUACAAAUGAAGUCUUAAUCACUAUAAUUGACAAUAUUCUUAUCUACUUAUAAGAUAGGAUUAGAGUUCCAAAUUUCUAAAGUAUAAAAACCAAAAAAAUGUUUAAACCUAGAAUUGAAUCCUUAACACUCGAAACUCAGAAGUCUAAUCUUAAGAGGGAAGGUGGCAAACUCAAUUCUCUACUUUUGAACCUAAGUUUUAUUGAAUUUUAAUAUGUGAAUACUGAAAAGAGGUGAAAAAUCGAAAUUUAAUGCUUUUUAAGGUGACCUCAAGUUAAUAUACGAUAAUAAUUAAGUUGGUCAACUUUUUUAUUUUGAUAUGUAAUGAAUUUCAUAAUAUCUAUAGUCUGUGCAAAAGUUAUUGGGUUCUCAUGAACACAUAUUUAUUAUCUAGUGGAGAUCAAAAUAACCAUGAGGGAGGAAGGGUAACGGGAACCUAAUUCAUAGUCCAUUCAUUAUGAUCAUGGAUGGACAGAACCAAUUAGAAGUGCAAAUCACACAACCGAAGCUAACUAGGAAGUAGACCCUCAAAGUCUUCCGAAGAAGCAAGCUUCAACGCUCCCCAAGACAGCAGAGCUAUCAUUGUGGGGAGGUUAAAGAGCAUCCAACGCGCCAUGACUAGGACUCGUGUUAGAGGAGAGAUCUGAUAUUAGGUAGAAGGUGUUUAAAGAAAUUGCAAAUGCCAGUCUAAAGCUUCAAAUUUUUGAACAUAUUAUCAGCUCAAGUAUGUUGACAAUCAUAAACGAAGUACACUAUGGUUUUUAAUAUAAAUAAUGGAAUGUAACAUAAAUCAAUUAAUCAAAACAGAUACUAACUAGCUUAUGCAAAAAACAUAGGUAACACCUAAAUCUACUCAUUUAAACAAGGCUUUCAAGUAAUUCAACCUUAGAUAACUAAAGAAUGGUCUCUCUGGGACAUUUAUGCACUUGACAAGCCAACCAAUUGGCCAAGAUGCAGCUGCAAAUCCAAUGCAAAUUCCCCAUUGCCCCCAAUUCAGCCUCUCUGUAUUUGCAAACUUCUUUAGAAACUCCACCAUCACCACUUGGAGAACCAAUGUUAUUCCGAUGAUCGCCAUGAACAACUUGUUCUUGUGUAUUCCCUUAAAGACAUUCUUCUUCUCCAGGUUUCGCGCGUUGAAUUCAUUGAACACUUGGCAAAGAACAAACGUGUUGAAGAUCAACGUAUCGUUUACUCUCUUGCUGACACCAAAGAUUGAUUCUCCUCUGAAUUGUAAGGUCAGUAAAACAGCAAUCUGAUAUAAGGCCUGAGCCAUUAGAUUUCUCCACAUAAUGUUGGUGAUAAGCGGUGCAGUCCUACCGACUGGUUUCUUCUUCAUGAGUUCCUCGGUUGGCUUCUCUGUCGUCAGUGCCCUGAAUCCCCAUAGAAAGUCCUAUAUCUGCUUCCUUUAAAGCUGGUGCAUCGUUCGUUCCAUCACCUGUGACCGCGACCACAUGACCUUUCUUUCUCAAGCACUGCACCAUUAGAAGUUUGUCAAAAGGGGAUGAUCUUGCCAUCACACGUAUCUUCUCCACUCUCUCCAUCCGUACUUCAUCUGUUAGGUUGCGAAAUUCUUCACCUUCUAUGACUGCUCCUUCAUCUACUUCCUGAUUAGGAUGAAGAAUUCCACAUUCUGUUGCUAUGGCUUUUGCAGUGAACACAUUGUCUCCAGUGAUCAUCUUGAUGUUCACACCAGCACUUUGGCAAGCUUCCACUGCUUUCUUCACACCUGGUCGACAUGGAUCUUUUAGGCCAACAAAGCCCAAAAGAAUGAAAGAGUUGUCUGGAACAUUUCCAUGCAUAUGUUCAUUAUCCUUCUGCUCAGCUUUUGACACUUGCUUGUGUGCGAAUGCAAUACAUCUCAGGCUGCUGGCAGCCAUUCCUUCAAUUAUCCUGUCACAUUCUUCCUUAUCUGAUUCCUCUAGAGGUUUUACGUUCCCUUCUAGAUCAUAGUAAUGGGAGCACAUUCUUGAAAUCAUUUCAGCAGCACCUUUCCAAUGUGCAUGAAUUGUGCCAUCACUGAUGUUCUUGAUCAGGACACCGCUCUUCUUUUUCUCUGAAUUGAAAGCUUCCACAUGUAGAAUGUUGAAAUUUCUUUUGAUUUGAUCCAUCUCCAUGUUCAGUUCCAUAACAGCCCAUGAAAGAAUAGCUUUUUCAGUAGGGCUGCCUGAGAACUCAAAGCUGGAAGAUGGAUCGGAGGACUUGAAAACACUACCAGUAGUGUUUAAUCCAACCCCUUGAUGGAAUAGUUCAUGAACUUUUGCUGAAAUUGAUGUAUGACUUUCUGCCUUCACGUGUUGUUUGCCUAAGAAAAACUUUGUCACGGUCAUCUUAUUUAAUGUAAGAGUGCCUGUUUUGUCUGUACAGAUGGUGGUGGCAGAUCCCAUAGUCUCACAUGCGGAGAGCUUCCUAACCAUUGCCUGAUCAGCCAUCAUUCUCUUCAUGGAAUAAGCCAGAGUAAGUGUAACAGCUAAAGGCAAGCCUUCAGGAAUCGCGACAACAACAAUGGUAACAGCGGCAGCAACAAUUCCCACCACAGCAUUGAUCACAUCAUCAGAUGAUGUCUUGCUCCCGUUGAAUUCUUUGUUCCCAUUCUCAUCUUUUGUGGUCCCAGUAAAGUAUCUAACCAAUAGGACAACAAGAACUAAGAAAGCAACUAGCAACCCAACUUUACCAAUCGAUGUAGUAAGCUUGUUGAGUCGUUCUUGGAGAGGGGUUUGCUCAUUAGAAUUACUGCUGAUUUGGCUCAUCAUUUCACCCCAGGUGGUGUUCAUUCCAACCGAUAUCACAAGCAUCAUGCCAUAGCCAUCGACAACCUUCGUGCCAGAAAUCAAAAAUGGAUUUUGGCUGAUAUUAAUCGCGACAUGAUCACUUUCACCUGUCAUGCUAGAUUCAUCCACUUGUAAAGAAUGGCCUUCUACCAAAAUCCCAUCAGCAGGGACUUGAUCUCCAAUCUUCAAGCAAAUGACAUCUCCAACAACAAUUUCAAAUAUCGAUAUCUGUUGGCGCCUUCCCUUUCUAACAGCUUCUACUGGAAUAUUCUUGCUCACUUUGGAAAGCUUAUCAAACUGUCUGUUUUGUCUAAAAUUACUAAUAGACGAAACAGCAAUGACAAGAAACACAGCGACAUAAAUACUCCCUCCAUCGUACCAUCCUUCUUUCAGUCCAUGCUCCUUAAUUCCAAAUCCAAGAGACAGAGCAGCACAGAGCAAAAGUAUAAUGAUGGUAGGAUCCUUGAAUGAUUCCCAAACAAACACGAAGAAACUCUUAGUAGGUGCCUUACGAUACGUGUUGCUUCCAAAAGCCUCAUGUCUACGUGCAACGUCUUCUGAAUCUCCGCUUACACCAUUAGUUGUAUCACUUUUGAGAGAAGCAGCAACACCUUGUACACCUCCAAUGUUAGCAAGUUCGUCAAAGUUUUUAUCUUUGACAAGCUUAGCUAGACUUGACUGAUCAAUGCCUGAGAAAAAAGGGUGGUGUUGAACUACAUCAAUCGCAAUUGUAUCAUUCGAUACACAGAGUAUUUUUCUUGGAUUGUAGGCAGGUGAUCCAUGACUAUAAGCAGUUUUAAAAGCUCUGGAACAAUAGAUGGUCGCAAAAGCUAAGUGCCAUCUUUUUUUGUUGGAGGUUUCAAUUUCUUUUGACAAAUCAGUUGUGAUUCUGUUCAUGAAUAGGUAAUGCAAGUUUUCUUCAAACAUGUUUGAUUGAAAAUGUGUAUAAUAAUAAUGAAAGGACUAAAAAGAUCAAAUAAUUUGUGAUUGUGUUUUGGAGUGAAGUAGUAAUAAUCCCCUGGAAGUUAAUCAUAUUAUAUAAGUACUAAUACACCGCGUAAUCAAGUUGAUGAAGUUUAGUGGAGUGCAGUUACAUGGAUAUUUCCAUAAACCGCCUUUGGGUCUCCUUUAUUGCCAAUUUAGUGUCGUGCCAUUUUGUCAUCUAUGAAUGGUUAUCCCCUAUUUUCUUGCGGCCCACGAUCCAAUUAAGUUGGGCUUUUUAGUACAAGUGACCAAAUUGUUUAAUAAAGAGAAAAUUUUAGAAAUAGCAAACAUAAUAGACAUAAUAAAAAUUUAUAGUUAUAGUUUCGAUAAUUGCACUUUAUAGCUAUAGUUUUGUUUGUUAUGAAGGUUGUUGUUUGUAUAUUUUUGUCUGUUUGUAUAUUUCGCUUGCGAAUAUACAAAUUAUGUAUUUAUAAAUUUAUAAAUUUUUCAGAACUCCGUUUGUAUAUUUUGCUUGCUAAUAUACAAACAUGAUAUUUUAUAAUGAUUUUUUCAUAAAUCGUAUACAAAUAGCUACGGUAAGCAUAUACAAAAUUUUGGAUUUAUACAAUCAGGAAUCAAAUUAUACAAAUUUUGGAUUUCUACAAAUCAGGCGAAUAGCAAGAAUUGGGGAAACUGUAGCUAUAGUAUUUAAUAUAGGCUAAAUGUUUGCUAUUCUGCAUAGUUUCCCUUCAAUAAAACGGCUAUAUUUAUAUGUAUGUAUUGAUAUUGUAUGAAUAGUACUCCCCUCGUCCCAUUUUAUAUGAGUUAUUUUGAUUCGACAUGAAAUUUAACAAAAGAAGGAAGAGUUUUGAAACUUGUGGUUUAAAAUAAAUGAUAGAUAUUUGUGUGGUUAUAAAUCGCUUCAUUAAGGAUAUAUAUGUAUUUUAAAGUACAAUUGCUACUUAAUAUAGAAAUGUGUCAUUCUUUUUGGGACUGACUAAAAAGAAAAAACAGUCAUAUAACUGGGACAGAAGAAGUAUAUACUAGGUGUAUAUAUAUGAUGUAUAACUAUAUAUUAUUUUUGGUAAUAAUUGAUAAUUAGACUCAAUAGAGAUUAUGCUAAAAUUUUCCAAUUAAGUUUUAUAAUUGAAUUUUGGGAUAACUAUGAUCCUAAACACUUUAGUCAGCUACAAAACAUAUAUGUUGUCAAUACUUGUACUAAAUAUACAUAAAAUAUACAUGAUCCAAGGUAUGUAAUUCGAGUUUAAUUGAAAUUUUAGACAAUUAUAUAAUUAGAGUUCAAAUAAUAUAUAUCGUUGAUGUAAAAUAUCUUUUGCAUAAUCAGGUAAAAGGUAACAUUUACCACCUAUUAUAGCAGAUUAGCUAAUAAUGAUCUCUUAACUAUCGUACUAUUUCAUAACGCUUUAGUUACAUAAAAUUUUCACCUCACAUUGUUUGACAAAAUAAGCGAUUUGAUACAUUAAGUUUUCGCUAUAUGCGAAAUUAGGAGGACUAAACUCCUAACACAUAAAUGAUUUACGUAUAAGCUAAGUUAUGAUAAAUUAAUUAGUAUAUUUUAACUUAACCAUUAAGAAUACUUAUCAUUAUGUAGCUACGUUUCUUUUUGUUUACAAUUUGGUCAUGUCGACAAUAUGGUCCGUGUGUGAAGUAUUUAAGUAUUUGUUUCACAAAAUAUAAUUAAUGCCAUCACCUAGUUUUGAUAUAUAUGUAAAGUUCACCGACAAUGCUUAGGAGCACUUUAUAAAUCAAGAAAAAAAAAUAGAAAUAAGAUGCAAUUGAUAAUUAUGUGAUGUCUUACUAUAAUAAAUACUAGUAAUAAGGUAGCACAAGAAAAUCAAACAAAAUUUAGGAAUGAAAAAGGGUUCCAAAAAGAAAAUACUUAGACGUUGCAUAUAUCCACUCUCUUAAAAUCUUAGUUGGGGCAAUGGAUAUAGUAUUAUUGUGAUCGUUGGGGCAAUCAUAAUUAUUCAAUUUUUAAUUAUUAAGUAUGUCUAUUUUUUAGAUCUAUAUUUUAAUCAUUCAAAUUUUAAUUUUUAAGUAUUUCUUUUUCUGUGUUUUGCAAUCACAAUUAGAGUUUUAUAGAGAAACUAAAUAGGCAAAACAAUAUUGGAGCUCGAGUCCAACAAGGUAGAAACUAAGGUUGCAUAUUUGUCCGAUUUGAAUUUAAAGUUUAUCGAUUUAUCGGUUAUUGAUUUGCAGAUAUGCUAAACCGUAUUAGAUUAUUAAGAUAUCGCUUAUCGAUUAUCAGUGAUUAAUCGUUAUUGAUUUGAUUAUCGAUCUAACAGUUAAGAUUUGACACAAAAUAAUAAUAUAAUUGAAAAUCAUUUAUAAAAAAGGUGACAAACAAAAUAAAUCAUGCACACGAAUUGACAGAUUAAAUCUUGUUCAAAAGUAAACGGUAAACAUUAUAGGAUAAUCGGAAGUUUGAAAUAGCCACAAAUAAAAAUAUGAAACUAAACUCUAUAUCAAGUAUUUUAUAUACCGAAUGAUAUAAAUAUAAUUAUAGAUUAACCGGAAAAAAAACAUCAAAAUAUUAAAGAAGGAUAACCCAUAGUAAAAAUAAUCAAACCCAUUAUCAAAAUAGCUUAAUCAAUUACCCAUUACUAAUAAAUCAAUAAUUUCGGAUUAACAUUUCAAUUCAGAUGGUAGAAACAAUGUUUUUUUGUAAUAUCAUAGUGGCGCGCGAAAAGUAAUUGGAAAGGAAGGCUCUAAUUCUGCUAUCAGUGUCACAUGAUUCCAUUCAUCUUUCAACUUCCUAAUCUCCAAAUUGAUGUAACCAGGGCUUUGAAUUAAAGGUGACAUUAAGGUGUCAAAAUAAAAGAGCGGUAACAUAAGUCUUAAUUAUUGAGUGUAGAUGACAAUUAUGUGAUUAAUGAUUAAGGAUUGUGAAAUUGCCCUCAAAUUUAUAAGUUGGCAAUUUGGUCCAUUGAAUUAAAUGAAGGGUAAAAGGGUAAAUGACUAAAACCUAGUUUAACCAAUUUUGGUGGGAACCAAAAUUGGAGGGAAGCCACCACCAGCGAGCUGUACCAAAAGGGGGGAAAUAAAUCAUUUUCCCCCCGCCUCCCCCCGUAUUCCUCUUCUUAUUUUUCUUCUGCUUUGUUCUUGCUCUAUUCUUGCUUGGUUGCUUGCCUUUCUUCUUCCUGUUCUCUUCAUCUUCUUCUUCAUCUUUUCGUACAUUGUUGGUCUUGGCCGCUAGUCCUUGAGCUUUUUUCUUCUUCUUUUCAUUUUCUUGGAUAAGAUUUAGCUAAUCUAAUCAGUGGACCGGAUUUCGUUCUGUAUCAAUUGAAAUUACUUCAUAAGUGAUUGGGUGCACACAUCAUUGUUUUGGUAAGUAAAAUUAACACUUCUUUGAAAUCAUUCACAUCAUCUGGGUAGCCGCAAUUUUUUCAAUAAUUUGCAUUCGCGUUUCGAAUAGAUGGAUAUAUAUGUUGCAACAUAUGACUUAUACAUUUUGUCACAACAUGUGAUUUAUGUUUCACAACACAAUAGUUAUAUGUAGCAACGUAUGACUUACAUUUCGCAACAGGAUAGCCAUAUAUAUGUUGCUACAUAUAACUUACACAUGUGAUUUAUUUGUCACAAGAUAUCAUUUAUAUGUAGCAAAAUAUGACUUACAUGUCACCACAUAAUAGUCAUAUGUUGCAACAUAUGACUUACAUAUCGCCACAAAAUAGUCAUAUGUUGCAACAUAUGACUCACACAUUUUGUCACAACAUGUGAUUUAUGUUUCGCAACAGAAUAAUUAUAUGUAGCAACAUAUGACUUACAUUUCGCAAUAGAAUAACCAUAUGUUGCGACAUAUAACUUACACAUGUUGUCACAUGUGAUUUAUUUGUCAUAACAUAUCAGUUAUAUGUAGCAACAUAUGACUUACAUGUCGCCACAUAAUAGUCAUAUGUUGCAAUAUAUGACUUACACAUUUCUUCAUUAGUACUAAUUAUUUUUUAAUUAAUUUCUUCAGGUACAAUAAAUGGAGGGAUUAUUUGUAGGGAUUGAUUGUCGUGGUGAAUGGGUCGAGAAGAAAAAAUCGAUACAUUUGACGUUGGAAGGAUGGUAAGAAACGGGGAGGGUCGGUAGGGAUGACUAUCGAAAUAAAUAUUUUGUAUGAUGAUUUUGUGAAUUUAGUCAUGCAAAAAUGUGGAUACAAUUGUCAACUGAAAGAUCUUGUCAUGAGUUAUAUUCCCCAUUUUUUUCAUAAUGAGAAGGUCUUACCUUUUAAAAUAAAUGAUCAGCCUAGUUUGGUUGUUUAUUUGGGAGGAGCAGAUUGACCUCCCAUUUUAAGAGUCUACGUGGAUGAAAAUCCCAUCGAGGAGGAUCAUAAUCUAGAAGAAGACCAACAAGAUAUGUUAAAUGAUGAAUUUAAUGAUGUGGACAUGAAUAAUCACGAUGCUGAAAUUGGAAAAGAUGAAUUGUUGGACUUUGAGAGCAACAAUCCUCCUACACCUAUUGUUGGCAGCAACAUUCCAUGUUCUUCUCAAUCAUCACGUGUGAAUAAUGUUCAAGAUGAUGAAACUGAUUUUUUAUAAGGGAAUGACAUUCAAGAACAAGGAAGAACUGACAAAUUCAUUGAAAAUUGCUUGCUUGAAAAAAGAUUUUAAACUAAAAAAGGUGAUCAAUUCUCGUAAUGUGUUUUCUUUUAAAUGUUCAUAUCCGGAGUGCAAUUGGUGGCUGAGGGCUGUGAAAUUUACAAGUAGCGGCAGGUUUGUCAUUAGAAUCUAUGAAAAGUACCAUACGUGUGGUUCAAAGCAUCUUACAAGCCAUAAUUCCCAUGCCACGACAAAAGUCAUAGGUAAGUACUUUGAAAAUAGGUUUCUCACUGGUAAAGGCCUAUCCACAAGAGAUAUGUCAAAUCCACUCCGCACAGAAUUGGGUUGUAAGGUAAGCUAUUGGAAGAUUUAUAAGGGCAUGAAGCAUGCUAAGUCUAAUGUUAGGGGAACACAUGAGCACAAAUAUGCAGUGCUUAAUGUGUACCGUUAUAUGCUUGAAGUUGCAAAUCCAGGAAGCAAGACGACAUUGUCGCUAGAUGAAAAUGAGAGGUUCAAGUACUUCUUGUAUCAUAUGCCGCUUGGAUAACUGGUUUUCAAGAAAUGAGAAAAGUAAUAGCCGUUGAUGGGACAUUCCUGAGGAGCAAGUAUGAAGGAGUUUUGUUAUCGGCGGUGGCACAAGAUGCUGAGAAUCAUAUAUUUCCAGUGGUUUUUUGUGUUAAGGACAAGGAAUGCGAUGCCUCAUAUGAAUAUUUUUUUCAAAAUAUGAGAAGCUUUGUAGAUGAUACUGAUGAGUUGUGCAUUAUUUCUGAUAGGCAUCCAAGUAUUCGAAAGAUGGUUUCGACUAUCUACCCUGCAUCUCAUUAUGGUUGUUGCAUGAGACACCUUGGGGAAAAUAUUCGAAAUAACUUUCACAAUUCAAAAGUAGUGACCCAUUUUUAAAGCAGCAAAGGCGUACGAUGGAUGUAAGUUCAAUGACCAUUUCAAUCAAAUAAGAGAUUUGGUACCAAAGGCGGCUAAAACUCUUGAACGUAUUGGUUCCACACAUGGAGCAGGGAAUUUGCCAUGGAAAUAUGUACAUUAUUGUCUAUACCAUCUCGUUUGAGUUUAUUGUAAUUUUAUGUGUUUUGAUUGAUUUUUAUUUUUUGUUGUGUAGAUAUAACAUUAUAACGUCAAACAUGGCGGAGUUGGUGAAUUCUAUGUUUGAUGUUGAAAGAGAAUUUCCUAUUGUCGCUCUAUUUGAUGAAAUAAACAUGAGAUUUGCACUUUUAUUUCACCAGAGGCGUAUUGUGACAUCUUGCAAGUCUUAAAAAUUGGAAAAUUUCAUUUUUGGGAAGAAUUUGGAAAUCUGGAAAUUUGGCUAAGUAUGGGAAAAAAGUGAGUUUUUGGCCAACUUUGAGCAGUUAUAACUCCUAGCUCAGGAUGAUUUAGGAGAAGUUCCAGUUAUGUUUGCGAAUCUCGUGGAAUGAUCUUUCUAACGCCACCAAGUUUUCUCGAUUUCGAGUUCGUAUGAGUGAGUUAUGCCCUUUGGAAGUUGGGCAGUUGGCAGGGAAAUCCGUCCGGAAAUUNNNNNNNNNNNNNNNNNNNNNNNNNNNNNNNNNNNNNNNNNNNNNNNNNNNNNNNNNNNNNNNNNNNNNNNNNNNNNNNNNNNNNNNNNNNNNNNAUAUUAAGGUGUUAGACUGAUUUUAAAUCAGUUUUCCCUUUUUAAAAGAGUGAGAGUUAGGGCUUUUGAGAGAAGAGAGAAAGAAGAGGAGAAAGAGAAAAAUGAGCAAGGUUUCGUCAAAGAUCAUCGUGGAUAUCGUCGGGGGUGAUCCCUACUAGGUAUGUGAGUUCAUAGUGUUGGGAUGGUUCUUUCCCCACACGCCAAACUCAUUUAAUUUCGAGAAAAGAUUGAUUAUGUUUGUUGAAGUUGUUGGUUGAUUUGUUGAAGUUGUUGGUUGUGAUUGUGUUGAAAUUCUUGUUGAUUUGGGACAUGUUUUCGGUUGGGUUUUUGAGUUGAAAUCUAUUAUAUGUUGAGGGGUUUAUGAUUCUAAGUGUUUGGGGCUGGAACCUUUGAAGUUAAGAGGGUUUAGAGUUGGUAGCAUGAAGGAGAAAAGUCGGGCAGCUUACAUGAAGCAAGUUUGCGUCGCAGACUUGUUCCCUCUGUGAACAAAAUCUGCUUCGCAUCGCGGACAGGACACGGACUUCACUGUUUCAAAGAGUAAUUUUCGUAAUUUUUCUUAAGUUUAGCUGUCCUAAAUCAUCCCUAAACAUCAUAAGGUCUUUCUAAACACAAAUCUUGAAUCCUUGAAUCCAUAAUUCAAUUCAAGAAAGUUAGGAUCAAAGUCAAGUGAAAUUAGAGUCAAGCUUAGAAGUUAAGAAGUAAGUCAAAGCAAGUCUUUAAAGCUUUUCAAGAGUCUUUAUUGAACGUUUUAACUUCAUUUUAAGGCUCAAGUUUCAAGUCAAGUAAAGAGUAUUGAGUUUUAAGUUAAGCCAAGAGUAAAGAGUUGAGUUCUUUUCGCAAGUUAUUAGGGAACUAUGUAUUCCCAAAGAAGUUUUUAAAUGUUUUUACAUUUGAGUAAGAAAGGAACUAUGAUUCCAAAAGAGCCUUUGGGCUAGUUUUCAAGAAAGGGAACAUCGAUUCCAAGUGACCCUUUGGGCUAGAUUUUGAGCAAUUAUCUCAAACUAAAGAAAGUUGUGUUUAAAACAAUUAUGAGCUAAAGUAUUUUGGGAGUAGUAUUGAGCACCGAAUUGGGGACGCGAGUUCAUAUUAACUCAACUCUCCAUAAGAACCAUGUAGCCAAACAUGGGAAUUAACGGACCAUUCUUUUAGAUGAUCACGUAAGAUUAAGCUAGUGGAUCCACUAAGUUAAGUAAGGUCCUAUAUCACGGCAAGGUAUAGGAUGGUACUUGGGCAACGUGAGUUGUGACGUUGUAUCAUCACUAGGGCUCAUAGUGGUGGUUGUCGGUUAAAGAAUCUCCCACUAAAGUUAUAUUACUUUCAUAUAAGUAAAGUUGAGUUUGNNNNNNNNNNNNNNNNNNNNNNNNNNNNNNNNNNNNNNNNNNNNNNNNNNNNNNNNNNNNNNNNNNNNNNNNNNNNNNNNNNNNNNNNNNNNNAGUCGGUGAAUUCUAUGUUUGAUGUUGAAAGAGAAUUUCCUAUUGUCGCUCUAUUUGAUGAAAUAAACAGGAGAUUUGCUCUUUUAUUUCACCAGAGGCGUAUGGAGCUGGUGAACUCUGCAAAUAGAUUUGUUCCUUCAAUUGAAAAAGACAUAUCAAAGUAUGUCAACGCGGGCAACAAAUUGUUAGCUCAUCAAAUCACUAACUACAAGUUCAGUGUCACUGGUCAUGGUGAUGUUGCUACGGUGGAUCUACAAAGAAGAAUUUGUACUUGUAGAAUUUUCGACUUGGACAAAAUACCUUGUCCACAUGCCAUGGCAGCGCUUCGAGCCCAAUAUGGUGCCGAUUUUGGAAAUCAGAUUUAUGAGUACUCCUCUCCAUAUUAUUCAGUGGAAAAAUACAUAGUGACAUAUUGUGAGAAAAUUCACCCGGUGCCACCUGAAGAUUCUUGGAUCGUCCCUUUGGAUGUCAUAGAGAGAGAAAUACCUACUCCAUAUGUUGAUCCAAGCAAACCUGGAGGAAGGAGAUUUAAGAGACGACGUGGAGUUGGUGAAUCAUUUCCAACAAGAAAAAAUAAGUGUUCCGUAUGUAGGGACUUUGGCCACAAAAGAACUACAUGCCCAAUUCGAAAUGCUCCAUAAGUGUUGUUGAAUUUUAAUGAAUGUUCUUUUUUAUUUGAGGAUGAUGUUCCCUAUCUUCUUAUCUUAAUUUGAAUCAAGUUAUGUUAUGUUAUUUAUAUAAAAUGUGUGAUUUGUUUAAUUAUGUGUUCUACUUACAACAGAAUAUUGCAUAUGUUCCAACAUAUGUCAAUUAUGUGUUAGAUUUUACAAUAGAAUAUUGCAUAUGUUCUAACAUAUGACAAUUAUGUGUUACAUGUACUACAAAAUAACGCAUAUGUUCCAACAUAUAUUAAUUAUGUGUUAGAUUUUACAACCUAAUAUUGCAUAUGCACCAACAUAUGUCAAUUAUGUGUUAGAUUUUACAAUAGAAUUAUUUGCAUAUGUUCUAACAUAUGACAAUUAUGUGUUACAUGUACUACAAAAUAACGCAUAUGUUCCAACAUAUAUUAAUUAUGUGUUAGAUUUUACAACCUAAUAUUGCAUAUGCACCAACAUAUGUCAAUUAUGUGUUACAAGUAUCACAUGAAACGCAUCUGUUCCAACAUAUUUCUCAUAAAUAAUUAUGUGUAAGGUGUGUGAACCAUCAAUCAAUCAUUAUUGUCAUUGGAACAACUUUCAAGAAAAAAAUUAAUUACAACUCUUCAUAUUUUACCCUUUUUUUUAAAAAAGAAAAAAGUACUUUCAGUUGAAAAGUCAAAAGUUGUGCCUCUUCUCUUCUCUUUUGUUCGUCUUCAGAAGUUGCAACUUUUCACACAUUUCCUGACAUUAUAUAAGAACACAACAAUAGAAGGUCCUUUCAUUUAAUUUUCUCCAAGAUGGAAAGGAAGAAUAAGAAAUCUUCAAAAAUGACUAUGAGUAUAAAAAACUACAUUGAAUCUCUUCCGAUGGAACUACUAAUUGAUAUCGUUGAAAGGAUUGUUUCCCACUCCCUCAAAGAUUUAAUGAGGGUUAAAUUAAGGUAUGUAUGUAUUAAUUAAUUUUCGCUCUUUAAUUUGAUUUUCUAACCAUUUGAUUUGAUUUCUUAGUUUGAGGGUCUUCAAUCAAAAGUUAAAAUGUUGCCGUUGUAAUUUGGCUCUCUUACAUGAUGUUUAAAUAUUUGUGUUAGAGAAUUCGAAUUUGUUUCAUUGUCAAACACAUGAUUUAUGGUAUAACAAUAUCCAAAUAGGUAACUGAAGAUGGUGUUUAAUUUCUAGUUUGAUAUAUUUGAAAUGUAUAUUGCGACUAAUAUUGGAUUCUAUUGGUGCAUAAAAGAGGUGAUGGCUACACGUUUGUAGAUAAAAGUAAACCGUGUGGUACCAUACAGACGUGAGGAUAUGAUAAUUAUUGUUGGAAGUUGCAGCAUUAACAGUAUUAUCUCCGUUCACUUAUGAUAUUUUUUUUCAUCAUAUUAAUAUGUAAAAAAAUGAAAUUUAUAGUAUUUUUUGUAUAAUUUUUGAAUAUCUAAAUUUUUUAUUUAAAAUAUCAAAUUAAUAUAAUUUAAUUUAACUUUAAAAAUUAAUCAAAUUAACUUUCGAAAAUCGCAAAUGACAAUUGAAAGUGAAUAAAGAGAGUAUAAAAGAUUGUUUGUCUUUUUGUUGUUGACUUGAGAUUGGUCUUUGUUUAAUAAGCUUAUAUAUAUAUAUAUAUAUUACUAUAUAAGAAGAGUGAAUAAAAUUCACUCUUCUUUUGACACGUGGCACCAUGGCCCACCUACUUUUAUUUUAUUUAAAUCAUAUAUCAUAUAUAUUACUAUAUAUAAUAUUAUUAUACUAUAUAAGAAGAGAGUCUAGGAUUUACUACCAUUGUUCCAAUAAAAUCNNNNNNNNNNNNNNNNNNNNNNNNNNNNNNNNNNNNNNNNNNNNNNNNNNNNNNNNNNNNNNNNNNNNNNNNNNNNNNNNNNNNNNNNNNNNNNNNNNNNNNNNNNNNNNNNNNNNNNNNNNNNNNNNNNNNNNNNNNNNNNNNNNNNNNNNNNNNNNNNNNNNNNNNNNNNNNNNNNNNNNNNNNNNNNNNNNNNNNNNNNNNNNNNNNNNNNNNNNNNNNNNNNNNNNNNNNNNNNNNNNNNNNNNNNNNNNNNNNNNNNNNNNNNNNNNNNNNNNNNNNNNNNNNNNNNNNNNNNNNNNNNNNNNNNNNNNNNNNNNNNNNNNNNNNNNNNNNNNNNNNNNNNNNNNNNNNNNNNNNNNNNNNNNNNNNNNNNNNNNNNNNNNNNNNNNNNNNNNNNNNNNNNNNNNNNNNNNNNNNNNNNNNNNNNNNNNNNNNNNNNNNNNNNNNNNNNNNNNNNNNNNNNNNNNNNNNNNNNNNNNNNNNNNNNNNNNNNNNNNNNNNNNNNNNNNNNNNNNNNNNNNNNNNNNNNNNNNNNNNNNNNNNNNNNNNNNNNNNNNNNNNNNNNNNNNNNNNNNNNNNNNNNNNNNNNNNNNNNNNNNNNNNNNNNNNNNNNNNNNNNNNNNNNNNNNNNNNNNNNNNNNNNNNNNNNNNNNNNNNNNNNNNNNNNNNNNNNNNNNNNNNNNNNNNNNNNNNNNNNNNNNNNNNNNNNNNNNNNNNNNNNNNNNNNNNNNNNNNNNNNNNNNNNNNNNNNNNNNNNNNNNNNNNNNNNNNNNNNNNNNNNNNNNNNNNNNNNNNNNNNNNNNNNNNNNNNNNNNNNNNNNNNNNNNNNNNNNNNNNNNNNNNNNNNNNNNNNNNNNNNNNNNNNNNNNNNNNNNNNNNNNNNNNNNNNNNNNNNNNNNNNNNNNNNNNNNNNNNNNNNNNNNNNNNNNNNNNNNNNNNNNNNNNNNNNNNNNNNNNNNNNNNNNNNNNNNNNNNNNNNNNNNNNNNNNNNNNNNNNNNNNNNNNNNNNNNNNNNNNNNNNNNNNNNNNNNNNNNNNNNNNNNNNNNNNNNNNNNNNNNNNNNNNNNNNNNNNNNNNNNNNNNNNNNNNNNNNNNNNNNNNNNNNNNNNNNNNNNNNNNNNNNNNNNNNNNNNNNNNNNNNNNNNNNNNNNNNNNNNNNNNNNNNNNNNNNNNNNNNNNNNNNNNNNNNNNNNNNNNNNNNNNNNNNNNNNNNNNNNNNNNNNNNNNNNNNNNNNNNNNNNNNNNNNNNNNNNNNNNNNNNNNNNNNNNNNNNNNNNNNNNNNNNNNNNNNNNNNNNNNNNNNNNNNNNNNNNNNNNNNNNNNNNNNNNNNNNNNNNNNNNNNNNNNNNNNNNNNNNNNNNNNNNNNNNNNNNNNNNNNNNNNNNNNNNNNNNNNNNNNNNNNNNNNNNNNNNNNNNNNNNNNNNNNNNNNNNNNNNNNNNNNNNNNNNNNNNNNNNNNNNNNNNNNNNNNNNNNNNNNNNNNNNNNNNNNNNNNNNNNNNNNNNNNNNNNNNNNNNNNNNNNNNNNNNNNNNNNNNNNNNNNNNNNNNNNNNNNNNNNNNNNNNNNNNNNNNNNNNNNNNNNNNNNNNNNNNNNNNNNNNNNNNNNNNNNNNNNNNNNNNNNNNNNNNNNNNNNNNNNNNNNNNNNNNNNNNNNNNNNNNNNNNNNNNNNNNNNNAGUCAUACAAAUUUAUAUCAUUCAUUUUGGACCACAAAUUUAAAAAGUCUUCAUUUCUUUUUUAAACUCCGUGGCGAAUCAAACUACCUCACAUAAAAUGAGACGGAGGAAGUAAUAUACAUUGGGCCCGCGCUGGGGCGGGAACCUAAUAACUAGUAUAUAUAUAUAUAUAUGUAUAUUGUAUUGGAUUCCAGCUUGGCUUAUAUUUAUGAUGAUUGAUGACUAUGACUUAUCAAAAGAAUGAAAAACGAUUGACGUAAUCAUGUAAUGAAGUAUUGGACACCACACAAAAAAAGAAGAAGCAAAAGGAACGAUCAAUCUUUGCAGCGCACCGGAUGAGAUUGUUUUUCCUUAAUAAAAAUUUUUUGAAUUCGAGAUCUUAAAAAAGUUCUUAAUUAAAAGCAUUUUUCUUUAAAUAGAGCCUAUAUGAAGCAAAUUCAAAAACAAUUAGGCUCCAACCAGCUAAGGUUAAAAGUGAGCACAAUGAUUGUUGAGUUGAUUUGUAAUUUCUGGGGGGUUUUAUAUGAUAGAAUACUUAUAUAAAGAAUAAUUUCAUGAUUGUUUAUUUAUCCUAACAAUAAAUACAAGAUUUUGUGUGAAUUAUUUAGAUUAUUGUUGCUAUAUUAUAUUUAGCGGCAAUAAUAAAUAUUCUAUAUAAAUAUAACUAAAGACUUAAGCGAUUUUGGAUAUAAUAAUCAAUACUCUAUAUAAAUGUAGCUAAAGAUUUUAGCGAUUCUGGAUAUAAUAACAUUAACUCAAUUGUUUCUAAAGGAAAAAUCUAUUGCCACUAAUUUUUGUUGUUGUAGGGGUCGUUUGAUAGAGUACAUUCGAAUAAUGUAGAAUAUGGUGUAUCAGUUGUAUUUAGUAAUGGUUGCAUUAAUAAAAUGUUGGUAGUUAUACUGACAUUAUUUAGUAAACAAUACUUAUUUGAUUUGAUGUAUUAGAAACAACAAACCUUUCAUAACUUUUAUUUAAAAAAUUAUUUACAAAAAUACCCUCCACACUCUUAAGCUUUGGAAAACGAAAAAUGUAUUAAGAGGGAUUUGAGGAAUAGUUCUGUCAUUAAUCAAUCUAAUGCAUGUGUUGAACCCUUUGUAUUAUUAAUACAUGAAAAUUCAUGAUAUUAGUAAUAUACACUUCAAUACAUAAUAGAGUAUAUAACCAAUGAAAAUUCAUGAUAUUAGUAAUAUACACUUCAAUACACAAUAGAGUAUAUAACCAAUGAAAACUCAUGCAUACAUUAUUUUUUCUAACACUACCAAAGUACUAGAUUCAAGCUUGGAUAAUAGUUGUAAUACACUUAUCAAAGAAGUAAGAAAAACGGAAGAUUGGAUUAUUAUCAUGCAUGAAAUGAAGAGGCUACUAAAGGAUCAUCCCUGAUACACAUUCCGAGGGAGGCUAAUGCAGUAGCAGACUUACUAAUAAAAUACGGAAGAAGAAUGAAAGACCCAUAGAUGAUCAAGAAUCAAACUUUGAUUUUUGAAGCAUCUCCGUCACUAGUAAUAGAUGCAUUAGAAAGAGAUGUGACUGGAACUAUAUCUCAUAUACUAGUUCCACUUUUGAAUGGUUGAACAUAUUUAACUAAAUAAAAUCCUUCUGUUAACAACAAACUAAUACUAUAGCAACAAACUAGCUUAUGGACCAAAAAAAUAAAAAUGAACAUCUAAAUUACUAUAUUUUAACCUGAUAUAACUGAAGAUUGGUCUCUCUGGGACAUUUAUGCACUUGACAAGCCAACCAAUUGGCCAAGAUACAGUUGCAAAUCCAAUGCAAAUACCCCAUUGUCCCCAAUUCAACCUCUCUGUAUUUGCAAACUUUUUAAAAAACUCCACCAUCACCACUUGGAGAACCAAUAUUAAUCCGAUGAUUGCCAUGAACAACUUGUUCUUUUGUAUUCCCUCAAAGACAUUCUUCUUCUCCAGGUUUCGCGCGUUGAAUUCAUUGAACACUUGGCAAAGAACAAACGUGUUAAAAAACAAAGUAUCGUUUACACUCUCAUUGACACCAAAGAUUGAUUCUCCUUUGUAUAGUAAGGUCGAUAAAACAGCAAUUUGGUAUGUAGCCUGAGCCAUUAUAUUCCUCCACAUAAUAUUCGUGAUAAGUGGUGUAGUCCUACCAACUGGUUUCUUCUUCAUGACUUCCUCGGUUGGCUUCUCAGUCGCAAGUGCUAAUGCCCCUAAUGUGUCCAUGAUCAAAUUUACCCAUAGCAACUGUACUGAUGUUAGUGGUUCCUCACCAUACAAAACAGAAGCUACAAAAUUGAUCAUGAGGGCAGCCACAUUAGCUGUGAGCUGAAAUUGGAUGAAUUUCUGGACGUUGUUAUAGACACAUCUUCCCCAUAUCAGAACUGUGGCAACUGAAGCAAAGUUAUCAUCCAAGAUGACAAUAUCAGAACUUUCUUUAGCUACUUCAGUGCCCUGAAUCCCCAUAGAAAGUCCUAUAUCUGCUUCCUUUAAAGCUGGUGCAUCGUUCGUUCCAUCUCCUGUGACAGUGACCACAUGACCUUUCUUUCUCAAGCACUGCACCAUUAGAAGCUUGUCAAAAGGGGAAGAUCUUGCCAUAACGCGUAUCUUCUCCACUCUCUCCAUCCUUUCUUCAUCUGUGAGGCUGCGAAAUUCUUCACCUUCUAUGACUGCUCCUUCAUCUACUUCCUGAUUAGGAUGGAGAAUCCCACAUUCUGUUGCUAUGGCUUUUGCAGUGAAAAACAUUGUCUCCAGUGAUCAUCUUGAUGUUCACACCAGCAUUUUGGCAAUCUUCCACAGCUUUCUUCAUGCCAGGUCGACAUGGAUCUUUUAGGCCAACAAAGCCCAAAAGAAUGAAAGAGUUGUCUGGAACAUUUCCAUGCAUAUGUUCAUGAUCCUCCUGCUCAGCUUUUUGGCACUUGCUUGUGUGCGAAUGCAAUACAUCGGAGGCUGCUGGCAGCCAUUCCUUCAAUUAUCCUGUCACAAUCUUCCUUAUCUGAUUGCUCGAGAGGUUUUACGUUCCCUUCUAGAUCAUAGUAAUGGGAGCACAUUCUUGAAAUCAUUUCAGCAGCACCUUUCCAAUGUGCAUGAAAUGUGCCAUCUGUGAUGUUCUUGAUCAGGACACCACUCUUCUUUUUCUCUGAAUUGAAAGCUUCCACAUGUAGAAUGUUGAAAUUUCUUUUGAUUUGAUCCAUAUCCAUGUUCAAUUCCAUAACAGCCCAUGAAAGAAUAGCUUUUUCAGUAGGGCUGCCGGAGAACUCGAAGCUGGAACAUGGAUCAGAGGACUUGAAAACACUGCCUGUAGUGUUUAAUCCAACACCUUGAUGUAAUAAUUCAAGAACUUUUGCUGAAAUUGAUGUAUGACUUUCCGCCUUCAUGUGGUCUUUGCCUAAGAAAAACUUUGUCACGGUCAUCUUAUUUAAUGUUAGAGUACCUGUUUUAUCAGUACAGAUGGUGGUGGCAGAGCCCAUAAUCUCACAAGCGGAGAGCUUCCUCACCAUUGCCUGAUCAGCCAUCAUUCUCUUCAUGGAAUAAGCCAGAGUAAGUGUAAUAGCUAAAGGCAAGCCUUCAGGAAUCGCAGCAACAACAAUGGUAACAGCAGAAGAAAAAAUUCCCACCACAGCAUUGAUCACAUCAUUGGAUGAUGUCUUGCUCCCGUUGAAUUCUCUGAACCCAUUCUCAUCUACUGUGCUCCCAGUAAAGUAUUGUACCAAUUGGACAAUGAGAACCAAGAAGGCAGCUAACAAACCAACUUUAUCAAUCGAUGAAGUGAGCUUGUCGAGCCGUUCUUGGAGAGGGGUGUGCUCGUUAGAGUCACUGCAUAUUUUGUUCAUCAUUUCACCCCUGGUCGUGUUAAUGUCAACUGAUGUCACAAGCAUCAUUCCACAGCCAUCGACAACCUUUGUGCCAGAAAUCAAGAAUGGAUUUUGGCUGAUAUUAAUCUCUACAUGUUCAGUUUCUCCUGUCAUGCUAGAUUCAUCCACUUGUAAAGAAUGACCUUGUACCAAAAUCCCAUCAGCAGGGACUUGAUCUCCAAUCUUCAAGCAAAUGACAUCUCCAACCACAAUUUCAAAUAUUGAUAUCUGUUGACGCCUCCCCUUUCUAACAGCUUCUACUGGAAUAUUUUUGCUCACUUUGGAAAGCUUAUCAAACUGUCUGUUUAGUCUAAACUUACUAAUAGACGAAACAGCGAUGACAAGAAACCCUGCGACAUAAAUACUCCCUCCAUCAUACCAUCCUUCUUUCGGUCCAUGCUCCUUAAUUCCAAAUCCAAGAGACAGAGCACCCCAGAGCAAAAGUUUAAUGUUGGUGGGAUCUUUUAAUGAUUCCCAAACAAAGAUGAAGAAACUCUUAGCAGGUGGCUUACGAUACGUGUUUCUUCCAAACACCUCAUGUCUACGUGCAACAUCUUCUGGAUCUCCGCUUACACCAUUAGUUGUAUCACUUUUGAGAGAAGCAGCAACACCUUGUACACCUCCAAGGUUAGCAAGUUCGUCAAUGUUUUUAUCUUUGACAAGCUUAGAUAGACUUGACUGAUCGAUGCCUGAGAAAAAAGGGUGGUCUUGAACUACAUCAAUUGCGAUUGUAUCAGUUGAUACACCAAGUACUUUUGUUGGAUUGUAGGCAGGUCCAUGUAGUGCUUUAGUGCUGGUCUUAAUUUUAAAAGCUCUGGAACAAAAGAUAGUAGCAAAAGUUAAAUGCCAUCUUUUUUGGCUGGAGAAAUCAACUUCAGAUGACAAAUCAAGUGUUAUGUUCAUGCAGAGGUAAUGUAAGUUUGCUUGAAACAUCAUGUUCAAGUCUUUCUUUGACUAUGGAUGAACAAAUUUGUUUCAUGGAAGUUCCUUUUAUAGUGGUAACAAAAUUUGCCUAGACUGCUAGGAGUACAGCGACAGUUACUGACUUAUGUAUGUUUCCAUUUAAUUCCCCAAGCAUUUCCAGCUCCCUCCUUCCACACAGACUGCUAGGAGUACAGAUAUGAUAUGCUUGGAAGUUGCUCUCAACACGCCCCUUCACGUGGAGCUUUGCCUGUUCUGAUAUCAUGUUAAAGUGUGUGACUAUUUUCUCAUCUAAAACUGUUAGAGAGGGCACACUUUUAUUAGUUAAUUAUAUUUAUAUUCUCAAUAGCAAUAACAGACUAUAAUAUCAUGCUUAUCUUUUUGUUCUUGAUUUGAGCGUGGUCUUUGUUUAAAGCUUAUAAGAAUAUUCAAUUCGUCCCAAAAUAAGUGAAGCUUUAGUUCAUUUCAUGUCCAUUAAGAAAAAUAAUACUCCAAUAUAAGAUAUAGUAUACUAAGUUAUUCAUAUUUUAUUAGAGAUAAGUGUCAAAAACACACAUUUCUUUCAUACCUAAACUAUCACUUAUUAAUUUGAGAAACACACCUCUCGUUUUUAUACCACUAUCGAUCAUCAUGGUGUGUGUAAUACACUCUCUCCCUUAUUUUAAAAAAUCUCAUAUCACACUCCACAUGAACAAAACAUUCAACCUUAAUAUUAUGUGUGUUUUUGACACUUAUCUCUAUUUAUUAAAUGUUUGUUUAGAAUUGAACAAUACUAAGAAGAAAUGGUAAGAGUAUAGUUCAAAUAAUUACUCUCAUUAUUGUCAUAGUUCCAUUGUCUAGAAAAUAUGCAUGGAGUUAGAGGUUUCCAUAUUUGAUACUUCAUUUGUCUCAAUUUAUGUGACACAAUAAAAAUUUCAAGAUUCAAAAAUUUUAAUUUUGACUAUGAAUUCAAAUAUAGAAGUUUUAAGUAUUUUGAAAUGAAAUUUAUAUAUUUGAAAACUAUGUAAAAUGUACUGUAUAUCACAAUAAUUAACAACUCAAAAAUAUCUAAUAGACAUAUGUUAAUAAAAGAAAAUUUUAAUUGACUUUCGAAAUUUCAACAGUACAACAUAAAUUGAAACAAAAGGAAUAAUAACCCAAUAGGCAACAAUAUAAGGAUUUAAAAAAAAAAAAACAUAAUUCUGUGAAUUUUAACUGUAGAAUAAUAAAGCCGAAAUUUUAAUAAUAUAUAUAUAUAUAUAUAUAUAGUUUUAUAAACUAAGGUAAACCGUGUUCAUUAGUGUUUUUUUUUGUUUUUUUGUUUUUAAUUUAUACCACUAGACCAUGUCUAGGGACCUUUUAUUAUUAAUAUAAUUUAAAAAAAAAACUCAACAGACACAUAACUUUGAGCAGUAGUCUUUGUUUAAGCUAAUUAGGGGUCAUUUUUCUUCAAAAUUAGGUUAAUUAUCUUGAAAAUAUAUAACAACUACGCACUUCAACGUCAAAAAAGAAAUAAGGUUUGAAAAAGAUGAGGUGUACGAAAUAUUUUAUCCUUAUCUUAUAUAAGAUACUGUUUUCGAUGACCACGACUACAACACUUAUCCAAAAAGCAAAACGGGAAAGUAUUAAAUCUCCUUAACGAAGUUUACAGUAAUUUAAUAUAAUACGUGUUGAAUGGCGUCAACAAACUCUACAUUAGUUGACUGUAACACUUGUGCAACAAGUUUUGAAGCCACAGUUAAUUACAACAUGCCUAUAUAUAUAUAUAAAAAAAAAAAUUCUAGGAAAAGAAUAUAUGGAUUGAUCUCAAUCCAAAGACAGGUGUAAAUAAUUUUUUUUUAUAUAUAAUUAGUAUAAUUUAACAUGAUCCACGAAAUUGCUUUCUCCUUAUGAAUUGGUUACUUAAUUACCUUUAAAUUGAAAUUGUUUAAUAGUGACAAUACACAAGUUAAAUCGAAAACUUUCAAGCUUUCACUUGCCCCAGUUAAUACUUUUGACUCUUCGGUAUAUAUAUGGUAAAAUUAGUCCAUAAAAAUAAAAUGUGUAAUCCAUUCAAGUUUGAGAUUUAUUUGCUUAAGCCGUCAAAAAUUAGACUGCUAUGUAACAUAAAAUUGAUCAAUGAGAAAUCUUAUUACAAUAUUUUUAAAUUUGAUUAUGGUACACAUAAUCAUAAUAAAGGAAAAUAAUAAUAUUUUUAUACUCUGUUUGGAUUAUUGUUACCCGUUAUUUCAUAAUGUAUUGUAUUGUAUGGUAUAUACCAUAUUUGGCUAGAUUGUGUUGUUUGUUGUUGUUUAAUAACAUUUGUAUUGUUUGAUUUGACUAUAUCGUACUGUAUUGUAAUUUAUAAAUUUACUAAAAUGUCCUUAAUUAUUCUAAAUACUAAAUUUAUCAAUAAUUACUAAUAAAAUAACAAUACUAUUAUGCAUAUUUUUUAUGUCAUAUGAAAAUAACAUAAAAUAAUAUUAUCAAUUAUAAUUAUAUUAUCAAACAAUAUUAGCACGUUUGUAUCUAGAUUGGUUUAAUUAAGAGAUGAUAAAAUCAAAAUUUUAUAUAUUCAUUCUAGAAAUUAUCAUGUACCGCAUUAAUCAAGAAAAUUUGAAAAAUGAUGAAAAGGUAAGAAAAUAGUGCUUUGUAUGAACUAACUAAUUAAUAUAUUUAUUCGUUAACAAUUGUGGACUCUAAAUGGUCAACUAUAAAUUUUAAUUUAUACUUUUGUAUUUGUAUAAUAUAGAAAUCUGCAAAAUAAAAAAACAUAUAAAUCAAUAGAAAGAGACAAAAGUAUGAAAAAAGGGAAGAACGUAUGCUUAAAAAAAAAAAAGGAAGGACAAACAACUAAACCUAGAAAGAAAGUAAUGCACUAAUUAUUGGGUAGGAGGUUUGCCUAAGAUUAAAUAAUAUAGGGUAAUGGUAGAUUAGUAUUAUGAAAUACUUAAUAAAUAAGGAUAUAAUUGGAAAAUGAAACUAAGUAACAAUAGGAACACACCAAAUCGAUUGUUCCAUAAAAUGGAGGUUUUCAUUGUUACGUAACAAUGAAAUUUAACAAUUCAAUACAUUUUAAGUAACAUUCAAAACAAACAUUGUAUGUAUGAUAACAAUACAAUACAAUACAACAGGUUAUAAUGAUCCAAACAGAGUGUUAUUAGGUAUGUAUGUAUGAUAACAAUACAAUACAAUAUAACGGAUUAUAAUGAUCCAAACAGAGUGUAGUUAGGUACUAAGAAAAUAUAAAAAAAUAAUAAAGCAAUUAAAACUUUGCAAGAAUUGCGCCAGUUGAGUUACUCACAUUUUAGCCCAUUGCAAAUGCCAGUCUAAUACUUCAAAAAUCUUUGAACAUAUUGUCUAUUUGUUGACAAUCAUGAACAAAGUACAUUAUGAUAAAUAAUGGAAUGUAACAUAAAGCAAUUAAUCAAACAGAUACUAAAUAGCUUAUGAAAAAAAACAUAGAUUACACCUAAAUCUACUCAUUUAAACAAGCUUACUUGAAGAAUCCCACAUUCUGUUGGUAUAUAAUUUGAGUCUAUGGAAAAAUUUCUUGAAUUUUGAUUGGUUGGGGAGACCGUGUCAAUAAGAACUCAAAAUAUUGUGUAUUGAUUUUGUAUUUCUUUUUUUAUCUAUAUUGUUAUGAUUAAAGCCUUAAGAAUGGUGUAUUUAUUGUACUUUUCUCCAUUUUUAAUGUGUUUUCUCUCUAUUGCACCUCUUUUAAUUUAUUUUACUAUGAAUUUUUAAUUACCAUAAGUUUGUAUUUUAAACAUUAAAAUACAGUUCCCAGCCAUUUGAUAUUUACUGUCACACUGUUACGUUUUAUUACUAUUACACCCAUGUUUUAAAAAAGAAUAUUAAUCGAUUUUUUUUUUUUUGCAUGAGACACACGUGCUCAAAAACUUUAAGCCUUUUAAAAAUAUAUUCUUUUAUUGAAAUAGUAAUUUUUUCUAUUGACUCAAGUCGAAAUUUAAAUUAUUUUUUUUUUAUAGAGAUUAUUAAUUAAUCAAAUAUUAAUCUAGUAAAAUUUUAGGGUAUAUCAAAACUACGUAAUGGCAUUAACCUGCAUUUCAUAAUUAAUACUACCCACACGAUCAUAUUGUCGUCUGUCGACAUGACCAAUUUGUAAUAAUUAAGAAAUCAUUACAUGCUAAUCUGCUAUAAUAUCUGCUAAGAUUUUUUUGACCGUAUAAAAGAUAUUUUACACUGCUAACGUAUAUAUUAGUUAAACUCUAAUUAUAUAGUUGUGUAAAGUUCCCCAAUUAAACUCAAAUUACAUACCAUGGUUACGGGUCGGUUUAGGUAGGUUAUUGAUUAAAAUCAAAAUUAAACCAAUUUAAUUGGUUUUAAAAUUAUCAAAAUCAAAUCAAACUAAAUAUAAUCACAUUUGGUUAUUAUCUGUCACGCCCCAAGCCUACAACCUGGACGUGGCCGGCACUCGAAGACCAUUGCUGGCCCCCAAGCGAACCCUUGGCUUGGCUUUCUUAACUCAGCGGAAACUUAACUCAACAGAAUAACUCAAUGCAAUGAAAGGUUAUAAAACAACCUAACUGAUGCAUAACAUGCCAAAAGGCAACUCGUCUCAAAAUAGAAUAUUUACAUAUAUACAUAGAUGAGAGACUCAAUACUAACUGACUAACUGUCUAUGAAGCCUCUAAAAAUUCUGAGAUGGAUAUUGGGACAGACCCCGCAACAUCCUAAUAAAACCAAAACUAAGAACACAAAAUAACAGGGUCCUCCGGAAGGCAAGGAGGCUCACCACAGACUCUGGAGUGCUCAGCUGGAUCAACGGCGUNNNNNNNNNNNNNNNNNNNNNNNNNNNNNNNNNNNNNNNNNNNNNNNNNNNNNNNNNNNNUCAUGAAUAACUUAACUCAAUAUAAAGCAAUAAGACACAUGCAAUAUAUAUAAAGCUUGUAAAACAGUGUAAACAACUUAGCUCGUUAAUGAUAAAACAAUAACAAAUUCCACUUUACUUAUAUAAAAGUAGUAUAACUUUUGUGGGAGAUUCUUUAGCCGACAACCACCACUAUGAGCCUUAGUGAUGAUACAACGUUUUACCUCACGUUGCCCAAGGACCAUUCUAUACCUUGCCGUGAUAUAGGACCUUACUUUACUUAGUGGAUCCACUAGCUUAAUCUUACGUGAUCAUCUAAAAAGAAUGACCCGUUAAGUCCCAUGUUUGGCUACAUGGUUCUUAUAGAGAGUUGAGUUAAAUGAACUCGCUUCCCCAAUUCGGUGCUCAAUACUACUCCCAAAAAUACUUUGGCUCAUAAGUGUUUUAAACACAUCUUUCUUUAGUUUGAGAUAAUUGCUCAAAGCUUAGCUUAAAAUCUCUUUUGGAAUCGAUGUUCCCUUUCUUGCUCAAAUGUGAAAACAUUUUAAAAACUUCUUUGGAAAUACUUAGUUCCCUAAUGACUUUUGAGAAAUGAACUUGACUCUAUACUCUUUACUUGACUUGAAACUCUAUACUCUUUAUUUGACUUGACUUUGAUCCUAACUUUCUUGAAUUGAAAUAUGGAUUCAAGGAUUCAUGAUUUGUGUUGGGAAAGACCUCAUGAUGUUUAGGAAUGAUUUAGGACAGCUAAACUUAAGAAAAAUUACGAAAUUUAAUUUUUGAAACAAUGAAGUCCGUGUCCUGUCCGCGACGCAGAGCAAAUUUUUGUUCACAGAGGGAACAAGUCUGUGACGCAGACUUGUUUCAUGCAAGCUGCCCGACUUUUCUCAUUCAUGUUACCAACUCUAUACCCUCUUAACUUCAAAGGUUCUUUUCCCAAACACUUGGGAUCAUUAAAAACCCUUAAUACACAAAGGAUUCAACUCAAAACCACAACCUAAAACAUGUCUCAAAUCCACAAGAACUUCAACAACACAACCACAACCUCACCAACCACAACCACAAGACUUCAAUAAACACAACCAAAUCUUUUCUCGGGAAUUUAAAAUGAAUUUGGCGUGUGGGGGAAUGAACCAACCCAACACUAUGAUCUCACAUACCUAGUAGGGAUCACCCCCGACGAUAUCCACGACGAUCUUUGAUGAAACCUUGCUUGAUCUUCUCUUUCUCCCCUUCUUCUCCUCUUUACUCACAAACCCUCACUCUCACACUUUCAAAAAGGGAAAAACUGAUCUAAAAUCAGUCUAACACCUUAAUAUAUCCAAAAGAAUUGGUUAGGGAAAAGACCAAAAUACCCUUAAAAUUUUCGGACGGACCUCCCUGCCAACUGCCCAACUUCCAAAGGGCAUAACUCACUCAUACAAAUUCGGAAUCGAAAAAACUCGGUGUCUUUGGAAAGAUCAUUCCACGAGCUUCGCAACCAUAACUGGAAAUACACCUAACUCAUCCUGAGCUAGAAGUUAUGACUGUUCAAAGUUGGCCAAAAACUCACCUUUUUCCCAUACUUAGCCAAAUUUUCCAGAUUUUUAAAAGUCUUUCCAAAAAUGACUAUUUCUAAUUUUUAAGCUUCUUCCUAGUUAUCAACUUGCAAGAUGUCACAUUAUCGGUAUCGUUUCGAUUUGAUUUGGUUAUUUGAUUAUUAACCAUACACAAAAAUAAAAGAAACAAUUCAUUCAAAACAUGUAAAAAGUGACAAACAAUUCAUUCAUAAAAGAAACAAUUCAUUUAAAAUGUGAAAAAAGUGACAACAAUCCAUUCAAAACGAAAAAUAGUUAGAAUGACUUAAAUUACUAAACUUUCAAUCACUAAAUUUACUAUCAAUAAAGCUUUAAAAUUCACUAUAUUGGCCUAGAAGGAAGAGACAAUAACAUUUUCAGUCCCACAAAGAAUUGUCAUAGACACUCAUAUACAUGAAAUCAAUAAGAUAAAUGUUUCAUCUCGGGCAUUUUUGCUUUCAAUAAGUAAAUUAUAAAGAAAUUUUAAUGAAAAUAUGUAUAAGAUCUUUAAAAUUGUUUAUAAAAAUAAUAUAUUAAGUAUGUAUAUUAAUAAAAUAUAUGUAUAUAAUUCAUCGGUUCGGUUCGGUUAUUUCUUCGGUUUUUUUCGAAUAAAACCAUAAUCAAACCAAAUACUAUCGGUUUUCAAAAAUCUAAAACCAAACCAAACCAAACCCAAAUAAAAUCGGUUUUAUUUUAUCGAUUUGGUUUGGUUUUUCGGUUUGGAUCGGUUUUUAUCCAAACCGUGAACACCCCUAGUUGUGUAAAGUUCCCCAAUUAAAAUACCAUGGUUAUGGGUCAGUUUAGGUAGGUUAUUGAUUAAAAUCAAAAUUAAACCAAUUUAAUUGGUUUUAAAAUUAUCAAAAUCAAAUCAAACUAAAUAUAAUCAUGUUUGGUUAUUAUCGGUAUCGUUUCGAUUUGAUUUGGUUAUUUGGUUAUUAACCAUACACAAAAAUAUAAUAAAAGAAACAAUUCAUUCAAAACGAAAAAUAGUUAGAAUAACUAACUUACAAAACUUUCGAUCACUGAAUUUAUUAUGAAUAAAACUUUAAAACUCACUAUUUUGGCCUAGAGGAAAGGAACCCAUAAAUUAAGAAUUGAGACACCAUAUACAUGAAACCAAUAAGAUAAAUGUUCUCACCUUGGGCACUUAUGCUUUCAUAGGUAAAUUAUAAAUUAAUUUUGAUGAAAACAUAUAUAAGAUUUUUAAAAUUGUUUAUUAAAAUAAUAUAUUAUGUAUUUAUAUUAAUAAAAUGUAUGUAUAUAAUUUAUCAGUUCGGUUAUUUCUUUCGAACAAAACGAUAGCCAAAUCAGAUACUAUCAAUUUUUAAAAAUCUAAAAUCAAACCAAACCAAACUUAAAUAAAAUCAAUUUGGUUUGAUUUUUCGGUUUGGAUAGAUUUUUAUCUAAACCGUGAACACCCCUAUCUUGGAUGUUGUACAUAUUGUAGUUGACCGAAGUGUUUAGGGCCGCAGUUAUCCAAAAGUUAAAUUGUUGAACUUAAUUAUAUGUAAAGUUCUCAUUAAACUCAAAAUUUUAGAUACAUUCCAAAUGUAUCAUAGCUAUGCAAGUGGACACUUCUGUGAAUAUAUAUAUAACUUCUAGGGAAUUAUUACUACUUCACUCUAAAACACAUUCAAUUCAAUUGUUUGAUAUUUUUGUCCUUCUAUUGUUAUUAUACAUAUUUUCCAUCAAACAUGUUUCAAGAAAACUUGCAUUACCCCUGCAUGAACAAUAUUACAACUGAUUUUCCAGCAGAAAUUGAAUCCUCCAACAAAAAGAGAUGGCACUUAGCUUUGGCAACCAUCUAUUGUUCCAGAGCUUUUAAAACUGCUUAUAGUCAUGGAUACUUUCUGUAUCGACUGAUACAAUCGCGAUUGAUGUCCUUUUUUCUCAGACAUUAAUUACUCAAGUCUAGCUAAGCUUGUCAAAGAUAAAAACGUUGACGAACUUGCAAACCUUGGUGGUGUACAAGGUGUUGCUACUUCUCUCAAAACUGAUACAACUAAUGGAACGAACGAUGCACCAGCUUUAAAGGAAGCAGAUAUAGGACUUUCUACGCGGAUUCAGGGCACUUAAGUGGCUAAAGAGAGUUCUGAUAUUGUUGUCAUCUUAGAUGCUAAUUUUGCUUCAGUUGCCACAGUUCUGAAAUGGGGAAGAUGUUUCUAUAUCAACAUCCAGAAAUUCAUCCAAUUUCAGCUCACAGCAAAUGUGGCUACGCUCAUGAUCAAUUUUAUAGCAGCUGUAUCAUCUGGUGAGGUACCACUCACAGCAGUACAAAAACAUCUAAAAAUAACAAAAAUCAUUCUUCCGUGUAUUUUUGUUAAGAAACUAAUUGAACCAUUUUUUAUUUUUUUUAAUUUGGUCAUGUCUUAGCCACGAUGAGAAGAUCAAAGUUACCUAAAAAGAAUAAGAAUAUGGAUAGGAAAUGAAUCUUUCAUUCUUAGAAUUUAAAUUUUGUGUUGUUAGUUUAUAUGAUUUUUGCAUCAUUAAGUAAAUUGACUUGCAAUAAUACGUAAGUCUUGAAAUAUUUAUACAGUAGGUUAUGAUGGUUACAAAGAUUAUGUAAAAAAAAUAAUUUUAAAAAUAUUACGUCCAACUAUUUAGAGAUUUUCUUUAAUAAAAUAUUUAGUACGUAUGUAUGUUAUCAAUGCAAUUUUAUACAAUGUAGAGAAAUGCUGAAAAUUUAGUGAAAGCAUGUAGGCAUUUAGUUAUGAAAAUAAAAAAAAAAUUAAGUUAUUUGAAAUUUUUGAAGUUGAAGUUGUAUUCGGCCAUACUUUUUACAAAGAAUAUUUUGAAAUUUGAAUAUAUUUUGUCUGAAUAUGAUUUAAACUCUCAAUUUCUAAAAAUUAGAAAAAUCACCUAACUUGACUAGCUUAACCAUGUGUACAUAUAUUCAUUUAACUUGACACUUUUUUUUUUGUUGGUGGUGUGAGUUUCUUAAAAAAAUAGAUAGAAGGAUGAAUCUUGCAACUUUUUGGAUAGUGCAAGGAUGGUUUUUGUUCACUUAUAUAAUAUAAGGAUAUACUUUAGACUUAAGUCAUACUUUAGGAUGAUUUUAACAUUUGUAGCAGAAUUUCCACAUAUAUAGGGGUAAGACUCGGAUUAGAGAUUAUAUAGAAGCACCCCCAACCCCCUUCUUUUUCUUCCUUCGAGUAGGUCCGCUCACUGGAAAGUUAGGUCCAUAGAAAGGUUCCAUCCUCCAAGGAAUAUCGUAAAACAGCCGAAAGGCGAUGACAUUCCUUGUGGCAAGAGUCGACCUCUAGGGUAUCGAGGAAGGUUGGAGAAUAUAGGUUACAGAGCUCAUCAGUCCAAGUCUCAGAAGAGAGACUCCUACGCCAUCCAUUCUUUCAGUAUGAACCAGUUAAAGAGCAUAACCAAAAACUCUCGUUAAAUGGUUGAUUGAUGUUGCAUUCAUUUAUUACUCGCUAGUCACUACUUGUAUUUCUCUAUGUUACGUUUUAAAACAAAAUUUAUGUUUCAAUAAAUAAUUAAAAUGAGAAUCUUAUUAUUUAAAAAAAAAACUUAAUUUAAAACAAAAAUUAUAUUUCAACAUUUAAUAAAAUAAUCACUUAAAUUGGUUGGAUGACUUUCUAAAUGAAAUAUCAAUAGAGUGAUUUUGUAUAUAAAAUAUUCAUAGUUGGGUGCCUUUAAUGAUAUAAAAAAGGAGGGAAAGUUGAGUGACUUUCUAUGAAAAGAACUAUCACAUUCGUUCAUAUUUACAUGUCAUCCUUAUAAAAAAUAAAUGUUCCUUAAGACUUGUCAUUACACAAAAUCAAUGUAUAGAUGACACAAUUUUUCCUAUUUUACUCUUAAGAGUUAUUAGUUUUAAAAUGUAUGAAUUUGACCAACAUAGGAAAACUAAGUAACUUAUUCAUGUUAAUUGGUUAAUUAAAUAAAAUAAAUUAAUUCAUGUUUAUUUAUUGAAAAAACUUGACUUUAAAAUAACACUAAAUAAAAAUAUAAUAAUAAAUUGAUCUAAUUUCUAAGGAGCGUAAAAUCUAAAAUGAUAACGCUAUAUUCAUAUUCGUCAUACGUUAUAACUUAUAAGCCAAGCUGGAAUCCAAUAUACACUCUUAUAAAAUAAUCUUAAAGAAUGACCAGUCUCAAGUCAACAACAAAAAGACCAGCAUCUUUUAUAACAUUCUAAAGUGGAAGUACAAGGAAAACGAAAAAAGGCUAUGUGUUUAGAGGCGGAGUUAAGCGAGGAUUUGUGAGUUCGAAUGAAUUCAAUAGCUUUUUUUUGUAAAUUUUGUAUUUGUAAUAAAAAAUUAAAUAAAUAUAUAUAUUUUAUUAAUUUGUGAACCCCUAUUAAAAUUGAUUGACUGUUCAGUGGUAAGGAAGUGAUCGUGAAAAUACUUUUCACGCUAGAAUUGUGGGUUUGAACUCUUCCUCUUUUUUUUUUUUUUUUAAAAAAGAAAAUUUAGAAACCCCAAACUCUUAUCUUGACUCCGCCGCUGUGUUUAUGUAAUUUGUUAAAUGCUUGUUUGGAUUCUUAAUUAGAGAUACGUUUUAGGUUUAAUAUAGUUAUUGGUAUCCAUUAGUUCUUUAUUUAUGUUAUUUUCUAUCUUUACUUAUUUAUUCUUAAAUUUUAAGAUUAUUAUACCUCUCUUUUGAUAUAUCUCCUAUGUUCAAUAAUAGUUGUCUAUUAAACUAAAAGUAAUUGUUCAAUAAUACUUGUCCAAUUUAAAAAAUCAAGAGAUAAUUUACCCUUUGUGUCUAUUUUAUCCUUCCUAUUAAAUAUUAUUUAUCAUCUAACACAUUUUUCAAAGCAUUAAAUUUAAUAAAGUCAAAAGAUAAUAUAGUAAUAUUACCUCUAUUAUUUAUACUCUCUCUGUCCGUAAUUACUUUUGAAUUGACACACCUAUUAAGAAAACAAUGAUUGACAUAGUAAAUUUACAAUUUUACUCUUAUUAAUUAUGAAGUGGAUGAAUUAAAAACUUAAGAUUUUCAAGAAAUUAUAUAUUUUCAAAGUAACUAACUGAGGGUAUAAUAGGUAAAAAAAAUACUUUAAUCAUUUAUUGAUUUUUCAAAAUGAAUAAGUAAUUAGAAAUAACUAAAAAAAUAAAAAGUGAAUAAGUAAUUAGUAACGAGAGGGUAAGUAAAUUCAUAUAUCCUUUUCUUAGAAAUUUCUUUAAAGUUUGCGAAACGAUGGUACUAUGCUCACUUUUUAUCCCUUUUUCCUUUUGCUUUUGGACAAGUGUUUUCAUCUUGCCUCUUCAUUUCAUGCAUGAUAAUUAUCCAAUCUUUUUUUUUUUUUGAUAAGUGUAUUACAACUAUUAUCCAAGCUGGAAUCUAGCACUUUGGCAGGGUUAGAAAAAUGCUGUUGUGUUAAUUUUGCAUAUUUUUAGUAUAUUGUUUGGUAUAUAUUUUUUAGUCUAUAUAUGUAUAAUUAAUAUUUGUAUUAGUUAUAUACUUUAUUGUGUAUUAAGGUGUGUAUUACUAAUAGAGAAAAUGGCUGAAUAUUUUCUUUAACUUUGCUAUUUAGAGUUGAUACACCACUCAUUAUGAAAGUGACUCAAAUUUUAAUAUACAUAUACCAUUUUCCUCUAAUGGAAGUGAAAAAAAUAAUUUUAAUAUAAUCCAUAUGGGGUAUAUUUGAUCCUCCUCACAAGUACUUUUUUGCCUUUUUUGUUUCAACGAUUAAUUUAAAUUUAUUAUUUUGAUGGUCAAAUUUAUUUAUGUUUCACUAAUUUUAUUGUAAAUUUUAUUAUAGAUACCCCAAUUUUAUUUUUUUUACAAAUACAAAAACUAAAUUUCAAUAUAACCGCAAAAAGUUAGCUUUAAAUUUUUCUUACACUAAAAAUGAAAGGAAAAAAAAGAAUAAGAAACUCAAAUAACAAUAUAAUCAAAGAAGUCAAAAAUAAUUUAUGUAUGAAAAAGAUCAAAACAUACUUCAAACUUUGCUAGAAGGAUCAUAUGUACCUCUAUAUGGAUUUAAAAAAAAAUUAAAAGUAAGAAAAAUAAAUUUAGAACUAAUUUUUUCACUUUCGUUAGAUGAAGGGUAUAUGUGAGCUCCUUCUGUAACGAUAGGGGUAUAUCAUAUAUGUGAGUUAUUUGUAUAACUGUAAGGGUAUAUAUAAGUCACUUUCUUAAUAAAGGGUACAUCAACUUUUUUGACAAAGUUAAAGGGUAUAUCAGACUUACUAAUCAUAUCAUGAUUUCCAUGUAUUAAUAUAUUUUACAUAGGAUUGGUUAAUGAUGUAACGAUCCCUCAAAUCUCCCUUAAUAUAUUUUCCAAAGCCAAAGAGUGUGAGGGGUGGUUUUGUGAACAAAUAUUUUUGGGAAAAUUACUUAUAUAAACACAUUUACUUACCUUACUAUCAAUUUAUCCCUACCUUUUUUAAAAAUUUCAAAAAUCCCUUAAUUCCCCCAAUUCAUAAAAUCUUCCGGAUACAUAAAUAUUUCACUCCUAUUUUCAGCCUACACCCACGUUUCUCACUCCCCAUUUCACUCCUCCAUUUUAUCCCUAAAUUCUCUCCACUUCUUUAGCAGUUACAAAUUUUAAAUUCAUUUUGAUUUUCAGAAGGUGUCUCUCAAGUUUAUCAAUUAAUCUAUUUUGAAUUUCAAAUCUUUUCUAUUUCCAAUUAAUGAUUUCAAAUUAUUCAAGAGGUAGAUUUCUUUCCAUCACUUCUAUUUUCGAUUUCUUUUAUUAUUAUUUUUUAAUUUUUUCAUCUUAAAAAAUAAAAAUAAAAUUACCUUCGCCCCCUGCCUUCUUUGAAAUCUUAUUGAACCUUUGCAAUUUUAGUUAAUCAUAUUGUCGUUGAAAAUUUUUCUUGAAAAAUAUUUAUUUUCUUUUAAUGUUUCUACUAUUGAAAAAUGUCCAAAAAAAGAAGAAGAAAAAAGUUGGAUUUGCCAUUGCACGGCCAUCACUAUCAAAGAUACAAAUUUUUAAUGUAUCUCGUUUAUUUUGAAUCUUAAAUUAGUCUUUGUUAGUGUUAUCAUUGAUCUUAUACAUUACUGCUACAAUAACAUUUGUUUUAUGCAAUGUAUAAUGUUCAUAUUUAAAGUAUUGAUAUAUAACUCUAAUGUUGUUGAAUCUUCGAUUAGUGUUUAUCAUGUUCAAUAUAAAUGUACUUGAUACGUAAACUUUGUGUUAUUUAUCACACACAAAAAAGAAGCUAUUUUGGAACAAUUACAUGUAUAAUGUAUUUUUUUAAAAAAUUUAAAAAUAUAGUAUUUCUCAAACAAAAUAAGAUACAUAAAUAAUAAUGUAUCAUACACUAAUUUUUUGUUAUGAUACGUAAAUUCAAAUUUAUAUUAAAUGUAUCUGAUACAUAACAAUUACCAAACAAUAAUGUAUCGAGCUCAAACUUAAAAUCUUAUAGGCAACACUUUCUUAUUUAAUGUAUCUAGUAGAAAUACAACACUUAUCAAUUUAAAUUGAAAGGAUCUUCAUGAUCUCAAGCAAAAUAAGAUACAUAAAUAAUAAUGUAUCAUACACUAAUUUUUUGUUAUGAUACGUAAAUUCAAAUUUAUAUUAAAUGUAUCUGAUACAUAACAAUUACCAAAUAAUAAUGUAUUGAUCUCAAACCUAAAAUCUUAUGGACAACACUUUUUUAUUUAAUGUAUCUAGUAGAAAUACAACAUUUAUCAAUUUAAAUUGAAAGGAUCUUCAUGAUGUAUCUUCUCAAAAUUUUUGAUAAUUUUGAAUCAAAAUUGAAAGAAUCUUCAAUGAAUUAUGAGAAUAAUUUUGAAACUCAAAAUUUUCAACAAUUUUGAAUCAAAAUGGAAAGGAUCUUCUAUGAACUGGAGAAGAAUUUUGAAUCUCAAAAUUUUCGUCAAUCUUGGAUCAAAAUCGAAAGGAUAUUCGAUGAACUUGAAGAUUCACGAAAGAAAUCGUUUGUCCAACAACAAUUCCAUCACUUUUGUAUCCUUCAUAACUCACCUCGCUUAUCCACAAUUUUGACAAAAGUUUUUAUGAAACAGAGAGAACGAUGAACAAGAAGAAGAAAUUUAAUUUUUGAAUUUUUUGGUUUGUUACACUAUAGGAUUUUGAAUUCUUGACAAUAAUUUGGAAUGGAAUAGUGUAAUUUAUGGGAUCUUAAUUUGAUUUUUCAGUUUUUCUCCCCUUAAUAAGUGCAACAGAUUGAUACAUAAUGUAUCAACAAUAAUGUAUUCGGAUCCUUAAUUAUGUAUCCGCAAUUCCUAAGAAAUAUGGGAUUUAUGUAAUUACAAAAAUAAUAGGGAUAGAAGGUAAUUUCGAUUUUACACUAUGGUAUUUAUGUAAGUUAUACAAUGUUUUUUAUAGAAGUUAUGCAAAACUCAUUAUUUUUAAUACGUCAAACCAAAUAGUGUAUACGAAAUAAUGUCAGUAUAACUAAUACCAACAUUUUACUAAUGCAAUCAUGACUAAAUACUAAUACACCACAUUCUACAUUAUUUUUGUAUACUCUGACAAUCGACCCCUAAGUGGGUUAUUUUGAUAUUAAAUUCAUUCCAUGUUUCGUUGAAGCUGUUGACUUGUUGUCAUUACAACAAAAAGAUAUUUAGUGGCAAUAGAUUUUCUUUUUACCAACAAUUGAGUUAAUGUCAUUACAUUCCGAAUGGCUAAAGCCUCUAGCAACAUUUAUAUAGAGUGUUGAUUAUUAAUACACAUACUAUUUAUUUUAUUUAUGAAAAUUUCAAAAUAAUUCGCAAUCGCUACAACAUUUGUCCUUCGAGUGAGCACUCUAUAAUAAACUGUACUAGGCAAACCCUAUACGACAAGCUUGAAAUAAAAUUAUUCACACAAAAUAUAAUUCACAUAAAUAUAAUAUAACAGCAAUAAUCUAAAUAAUUCACACAAAAUCCUUUAUUUAUCAUAUAUAAGUACUGUCAUUUAAAAUCCCCAAAAAAUACAAACCAACUCAACAAUCAUUGUACUCACUUUUUUGCCUUGGCUUGCUCCUUUUGCUUUUCACUCAAUAUUGGAGUCUAAUUAUUUUUAAAUUUUGUCACGUAGAGCUUUAUUCAAAGCAAAAUCAUUUGUUAUCAAGAAUUUUUCUAAGCUCUCAAACUCAAGUCUUUUUUAUUAAGGGAGAACAAUCUCAUCCAUUGCACGAGCAUCCUUCGGUUCCUUUUGCUUUUUUGUGUGUGUACAAUACUUGAUUACAUGAUUACGUCAAUCGUUUUUCAUUCUCUGAUUAGUCAUACUCAUAUUAUAUAUAAGCCAAGCUGGAAUCCAAUCUUUAUAUAAGCUUAUUAAACAAAGACCAGAACAAAAGACAAACAAUCUUUUAUAACUUUCACUAUUGCUGCAACUUCCAAGAAUAAUAUCAUCUCCUCACUCCUAACAGCCUGUCUGUUACACACGGUUUACUUUUGUCUAUAAACUUGUAGCCAUCACCUCUUUUAUACAACAACAGAAUCUAACAGACAUUUCAAAUUAUCAAACUAGAAAUUAUAUUAAACACAUCGUCAGUUACCUAUUUGGAUAUUAUUAUUAUUUUAUCAAAAAUCAUGUGUGACAACAUCUUGCAAGUGCAAUUAACGCCUAUUUUAACGUCCCCCGCCAGGAAGAGAUGGCGUUGGGCGUUUAAAAUUCUCUAUACUUCCAGGGCAUUGCUGUCUACAGCCAGGAAGAUUGUUGCUGAAAAACAAACCAAAUGAAGACCACCACUAUUUAUAGUUGAGAGAGUCUUCCUAGCAAUGAAUAGGAAGAUAAUGGGUAGUAAAUAGUGAAGAUAAUGACCUUAGGAGUUACAUAGGUUACAAGGUAUAAUAGAGGAAUUAUGAGUGACAAUCAAGUAGGCACUAAUGCCAUCAACGCAAUUUUGCAUCUGUUGCAAAACUGAAGUGCCAUAUUGCACUAACUCCUAAUGGUGUAAUGCUCCAAAUAAAUGUCCAACGGUUAAGACAAAAGAAUUAUCCACCAACGGACAAUUUCACAGCAAAUGCCAUACUUUGACUCCAUACAUUUCAAGCAAAUUAAUAUACAAAAAUAUUAAUAUUAAAAUGCUGACCAACAAGGAUUAAUUAUUAUAGAAAAUAAAAGGUUUUGAAAACACUAUUUUUUUUAAAUACUUAUAAAACUAAGCAGUUUGGGCAGCUAUGUUAAACAUGCUCUAAGUGUCUCGUGGAGAAAGAUGACAAAAACCAACUACAAUUACAAAGACAAGAGGCAACGUAACCCACAACUUGGAGGCUCAAUGGAGCCAACUGGUUCACAAUUUGAAUUGCUGAUUUGCUGUCACUGUGUAAUAUAACUGGGAGUUGCACAUUUACAUUCAACUCUUUACACAAACCAAUUAGCCAUAGAAUUUCUGAUACACCUGCUGCCAUGCUUCUGUACUCUGCUUCUGCUGAGCUCCUAGAUACAGUCGUUUGUUUCUUUGCCUUCCAAGAUAUCAAUGAUUCCCCAAGCUUCAUUACAUAGCCUGUAACAGACCUUCUUGAGAUAGGACAUGUGGCCCAAUCAGCAUCACAGAAACCUGUUAAUUCAGUAGACUGCUUUGAUACCAUGUUAGAAUUCAGAAACAUUGCAGUGACUUCCAUUAAUGGAGGAAAUCUAAAACUGCUAUUGGUUGUAAAUGGGUUUUUAAAAUCAAGUACAAGGCUUGUGGUGUUGUUGAAAGAUACAAGGCUCGGCUUGUGGCAAAAGGGUAUAACCAGAAGGAAGGUUUAGACUAUGUGGAGACCUUUUCACCUGUGGUCAAGAUGGUUACUGUCAGGGUGGUACUUGCUCUUGUUGCUGCUCAUAACUGGUCUCUUCAUCAGCUUGAUGUCUACAAUGCCUUCUUGCAAGGGGAUCUUCACGAAGAAGUAUAUAUGCAUGUUCCACAGGGAUUUUCCAGUCAGGGGGAGAAACAAGUCUGUAGACUGCAUAAAUCCCUGUAUGGACUAAAGCAAGCAUCAAGACAAUGGAACUUGAAGCUCACUGAAGCAUUGAUUAACUCAGGGUUCACUCAGAGUCAUUUUGACUAUUCUCUACUUCUUCUUGAAGAUCCCCUUGCAAGAAGGCAUUGUAGACAUCAAGCUGAUGUAGAGACCAAUUAUAAGCAGCAGCAAGAGCAAGUACCACCCUGACAGUAACCAUCUUGACCACAGGUGAAAAAGUCUCCACAUAGUCUAAACCUUCCUUCUGGUUAUACCCUUUUGCCACAAGCCUAGCCUUGUAUCUUUCAACAGCACCACAAGCCUUGUACUUGAUUUUAAAAACCCAUUUACAGCCAAUAGCAGUCUUGCCAGGAGGUAGAUCAACCAAGGACCAGGUCUCAUUAUCCUUCAAGGCCUGAAGUUCUUGAUCCAUGGCCAACACCCAGUCAGGAUCCAAAGAAGCUUCAGCAUAACAAGAUGGUUCUCGCAAGGCAGUCAUCUUAGACAAGAAAGACUGAUAUGGACCAGACAAGCAUGUAUGGGACAAGUGAGAAGACAUGGGAUAAAGACAUGCAUUUGAAACACCGCUGGAAGGAAUGGAUGUACAGACAUAAUCCUGCAUCCAAGAAGGUUGUGUCUUAGUCCUUGUUGAUCUUCUGGCUUCCAGAUUAUGUGGAUGAAUGGGACCAGCAUGAGGUGUUGGAGGAAGAGUCACCUCAGGAGAGGAAAUUAGACCAGAUGCAACAUUAUCAAGAGGCAAAGAAGCUGGGACAACGACAGCAGUAGGUGAUGUAUCAGUGUUAAUAACACCAUUUGGAAAUAUGUGAAGUUGACCAGACUUUUGCAGCUGAAAAGGAAAUAUAGAUUCUUGAAAAUGUACAUCCCUGCUAACAAAGAAGUGGUUAGUUAACAGACUGUAAAGUCUGUAGCCUUUCUGAGUAGCAGAGUAGCCCAUGAGAACUGCCCCAAUAGCUUUAGGACCAAAUUUGUCACCUCCAGGAACAACAGUAGCAAAACACAAGCAUCCAAUAGUUCUCAUGUGUUGGAGAGAUGGUGGUCUCCCAUAUAACAACUCAAAAGCUGAUUUACCAUUCAAGACAGAUAAAGGGAGUCUAUUUAUGACAUAUACAGCAUUUUGAACACAUUCACCCCAAAAUUUCAGAGGCAAAUGACCGUGGAGUCUGAUUGCCCUAGCUACUUCCAAACUGUGUUUGUGUUUCCUCUCAACCAAACCAUUCUGUUGCGGAGUGUAAACACAUGAGCUUUGAUGAAUGAUACCACAAGAGUUAAACAAUGCAUCACAAUCAGAAUUAAAAAAUUCUGAUCCAUUGUCACUUCGAAACACUUUAACAGUUGCUCCAAACUGAUGCUGAAUUAGAGGAAUAAAUUGUUUCAAAACAACAAUUACAUCACUUUUGAGUUUCAACAAAAAAAUCCAUGUCAUCCUAGUAUAGUCAUCGACUAGGGUAAGAAAGAACCUACUACCAUCAUGAUUACAAACCCUAUAAGGGCCCCAAACAUCAGCAUGUAUCAUUUCUAAAGGAGAAGUAAAUCUAGUAGUUUUAACAGGAAAAGAUAGUCUUCUCUGCCUGGCUAGUGGACAAAUGGUGCAUUCUUUGAUGUUGCUACUACUUGUGCUAAAAUUCAUAUUUGGAAUUUUCAUCAGGACUUUGUCAGGAGCAUGUCCCAAUCUGUUGUGCCAUGUUUUUAAGUCUGUAUUUGUACCAAUUGGUCUUGAGUCUACAGUUGCAGUUGCUGCCAUUGCCUGCUGGUAGUCUUUCACUUGCAAUUGCAUCCUGUAUAAGCCAUCACACAUCUUACCAAUCCCCUUCACUUUCCCACUGUGAAGGUCCUGCAUAAUGCAUAGGUUAGGAUAAAAAGUGACAAAACACUUCAGAUCCUUUGUCAGUUUUGAAACUGAUAGCAGGUUGUAUUGGAAGUUUGGUAUGCAUAAGACAUCAGUAAGUUCUGCUCCACCUCCCAAGGAGCAUGAACCAAUACAUGCAAUUUCAAGGGCAUUACCAUCUGGUAAAUAAACCUUACUGGAAGGUAUGUUGUCUGCUAUUGUAGUCUCAUUAAGCAUAUGUUUAUCAUGUAUCAUGUGAUUAGUGGCCCCUGAGUCAACUAUCCAUUUAUCAUAAGCAAUUUCAUGUGUUGCUAGAAACGAAUAAAGUAUACCUGCUACAUGUUUCUCAGAUGUAGUACAGUCUUUGUUGAUCAGCUUCAGUAAUUGAUCAUACUGAUCUUGAGUGAACAUGAUACCAUUGUUGCGACUUGCAUCAGUGUCAUUCAGCUGGUUGUUCGAGCAGGUGUGUUCCUUCUCACGAGCAUAGAGAGCAUGUUGUAUUUGUGGAUCCCCCUGUGCAACUAUGUUAGCAGUUGGCCUGUACCUUGUGGGAUGGUUUCCUCCUUCAUUUGUUCCUGCUGGUCGGUUUCCUCCUCCAUUUGUUCCUGCUGGUCGGUUUCCUCCUCCAUUUGUUCCUGCUGGUCGGUUUCCUCCUCCAUUUGUUCCUGCUGGUCGGUUUCCUCCUCCAUUUGUUCCUGCUGGUCGGUUUCCUCCUCCAUUUGUUCCUGCUGGUCGGUUUCCUCCUCCAUUUGUUCCUGCUGGUCGGUUUCCUCCUCCAUUUGUUCCUGCUGGUCGGUUUCCUCCUCCAUUUGUUCCUGCUGGUCGGUUUCCUCCUCCAUUUGUUCCUGCUGGUCUUCUCUUCCCUUGUGAAUCAGGAGGAUAACCAUGUAGCUUCCAGCAUUUGUCCACUGAGUGCCCUCUCAUAUGGCAGAAUUCACAAUACAAAUCAUUAGUCCUCCUUGGUUUGAAGUUGUUGUCUGCAUCCCUAAAAUUGUUUCCUGGAUUUCGAUGAUUGCCAGUCACUCGAUUAUUGAAUAAUGCUAUCCCAUCCAUGGAUUCCCCCAUAUGAACUGAUUUGCCUAGAGAUCUUCGACUCUCUUCAGAGAUCACCAUCGAGUAUGCCUUGUUCAAGCUAGGAGUGGGAGUCAUCAUCAUGAUCUGACUUCGACAUUGGCUGUAGGACUCAUUCAACCCCAUUAAGAACUGUAACAAACGUUGAUACUCAAAAUGUUCAACAUAUUUCUUUGAUUCAGCACAUUCACAACCAGGACAUGGCAUGAGGGCAUCGAAUUCUUCCCAAAGCACCUUCAUCUUCGAGAAGUAACUCGAUAUAGAGGAAGUACCUUGAGUGAGAUGAUUAAUUUCUGUGUGUAGAUGAAACACCCUAGAUCCGUCAACCUUAUCUAGUCGUUCCUUCAAAUCAGUCCAAACUUGUGUGCGCUAGAGGCAUACAUGAUUCCACUCAAUAAUUCUUGCUAACAGCAUUCAUUAUCCAUGACAGCACUAUUGCAUUACAUUUUCCCAAAGUUCAUGCAAUGAUGUAUCGAACUUAUCCUUAGUGUGUCUUCCAUCUACAAAACCUAAUUUGCUCUUUCCUACCAGUCCAAUUCUCAUCGAUCUACUCCAAAUUGCACAAUUUUCUGGACCUGUUAGGAGAAAUGAGAUUAGAUUGUUACCUGGAGUAUCACACGCCUGCAGGCACAGAGGAUGGGGAUGAUCAAUCACUGUAGGAGUUGUGGUGGCUUCAUUAUCAAUUGCCAUUGUUGUUCGCCGAGUGCUCUGAAUCGUAGAUCCACUUCUUAGUUACAAAAAAAACUAGUGUGGUUUGUGACUUGAAUUCAGAAGUCCAGAAACUCUCCUCAAAGCUCUGAUACCAUGUUAGAAUUCAGAAACAUUGCAGUGACUUCCAUUAAUGGAGGAAAUCUGAAACUGCUAUUAAGCUUGAAUGAACAUAGGCAGAAUUCUGGGAGAAUACAGAAUUGGGAAAUUUUCUCUGAUUAAAACCAAUACUGAAAAUUUGAUCAUCUACACACUUAUAUACACGUUUUAACUUGUAACUAACUAAGCUAGCUAAUAUCUUUCUAACAAACUAUUAACUAACAGCCUUAACAAUAAUCAGUUAACUAAUCACGUGAUGGUGCCAUGUCACAUACGUAUUAACCUUUCUCAUCCUCAAUAAAAACAAGACUGAGCUCUUGAGCAACUUUUCGCGCUCUCAAUCUUAUACAGUAGUUGAUAUCGAACCAGAAUGUUUUUCGAGUAUCAACAAGCAAAUGUUAGCAAAACUCGUUCGAGUGAGAGAUGUUAAACAGUUUGAUGGUGUGGAAAGCGUGUUGUUUGUCCUGAAAACUGAUGCUGACAAGGGUAUCUUAGGUGAUGAUAAGGAUAUUGCUUCUCGGCGCAAACAUUUUGGGACUAACACAUUUAAGAAGCCAUCAGUAAAUCUAUUGCAAAUAUUAUUGAAGAGCCUCAAAGAUCCUAACAUCAUCAUUGUACUGCUGUAUGCUGUUUUAUCACUCGGUUUUGGCGUUAAAAAACAUGGGGUGAAAGGAUGUUUGGAUGGGGGAAUUAUACUAAUUUCCCUGUUUCUUGCCAUUAGUCUCUCUGCUUUUUGUAAUCAUAUCAUUUAUUAUUAUAAGUGGGAGGCUCAAUUUUCAAAGUUGAAUUACUCUUUUACCCUUUUACUAAAUAAAAAUAUUUAAUUAAUAAAAAUAUCUAAUCUAAUUAGUAGCAAUAUUUAAAUUGUUACACAAUUACUAAUGUAAUAAAUAAAAUAUCUACUCUAAUUAAAUAGGAGUAAUAUUUUAAUUAUCACACAAUUACAGCAGCCUAUAUUCAAUGUCUUGGAAUUGCUAGCUUUUUCAUCUUCCUAAAAUUGUCCUCUAUUCAAUAUUUUGGUUUCGUUUCAACUUCCUUAACUUAUUUUUCAAUUUUUUAUACCAAUUUAAUGUCUUGGUAUUCUACUUUAACAUGCAUUGAAUCAAAUCAAAAUGACCCUUUUGAAUUUACGCAAUAAGCCUCUUCGUUGCUAAAUAAAUAGAAGAAUUGGAAGAGUUGCAUUGAGUAAUUAAAUGUAGACUAAUUAUUAACUAGGAAUAAUAAAUAUAUGAAUAAAAAAGUUCAAGGAAUGCGCAUCAGAAAAGAUCUAUAAAAAGGCCAAAUUAUAUGAAUAAUUAAAUUUAAAUUAUUACAAAAUGUUUUGUUGGUUCGUUUUGCCACUAUUUCAUGAAUAUAUAGUACAUUUAAGUCACCUUCUUAGGGGAUAUUUUGUACCCCUAUCUACACACUACUUUUUCAGAAUAUUUUUAUACUAUCAAUCAAAUAAUACAUUUACCUUUUAAUAAUAAAUCAAUAAAUUGUGAAACAUUAAUGUGAAGUUCAUGAAUCUGUCUAGCCCUUAGUGUAGUUUAUCUUUUACUAUAUAAUUAUAUGCACUUAUCCCAUUAAUUUUAAAUUUGUUAUUUCUUUUAAUUUUCAUCCAUUAGAAAACUUUUCAUGUACUCUAUUAAGUUUUAUAUAAUACACAUAACAUUUUUGGAAAAAGUAUAGGAUGCAGUUACAAUUGAUUUGCACAGUAAUUUAGGUAACUGUAUUGUUAUUCAAAUUAUAGCAUAUAAUUGAAAGCUAGAGAUUCUUCUAGCCGAUUGCAGAUUUGAGGCAGCAAUAAGUGAAGCAGUUCUUGUCAAAGAACCAUUUCGUGGUAGUUUACCUCCCAGGUGAUGUUGAUUAAUUAGUUAAAAUUGUUGCGUCUUUAUGUUGUUAAUCUUUAAUUUGUGUUACACUUUAAUAUGUAAUUGCAUGGAUUACUAUAGAAAAAAAGUGUUAUAUAUGAGAUUAUAUACUUUAGAGGUUUAAUCCAAAAUUUGAAGUUAUUUGUCUAAUACGGUGUUGUAAUGCAUGAAACACAUUGAUUUUAAUAGCUUGUCAUGUUGCAUAUGAUAUUAUAUAGUAUAUACAAUUUUACUAAUUAUUUAUGUUAAAUUCAAAGAUGAAAUGACUUAGAAGUUUAAAUCAGACAAAAGGUAAUCUUCCCUUUCAAAAUUCAUAUAACUCAUUGCACAUUUAAUCUAAUAUUUUUUUUAAAAAAAAUUACUUAGCGUGAAAUACACGUGCGUUGCACGUGUUCGAGAACUAGUAUUGGCAUAAACAGCAACUUUAUGAACUUUGUAGGCCAAUUGAAACUGUUUCCAUUCUUGUGAUUAGGGAUGGGAAGGAUACGUGUAUCGCAUCAUCUGAAGCAGUUGUUGGAGAUGUCAUUCGCUUGAAAGCUGGAGAUCAAGUCCCUGCUGAUGGGAUAUACAUAGGUGGCCAAUCCUUACAUAUUGAUGAAUCAACUUUAACAAAGAAAAAUGACCUUGUGGAAGUUAACAAUAGCACCAAUGUGUUCUUGUUAUCGGGUAGCAAUGUCUUGAGGGGUAAUGGUCGAAUGCUUGUUACAGCAGUUGGCAUGGAUACAGCAUUGGCAGAAAUCAUAAGUCCAGCUUGUGUCAAUCAUGAUCAUAAAUCACUUUUACAGAAGAAACUACACAAACUGACCUCGCAUAUAGCAAAGGUUGGUUUGGCAGUCAGUUUCUUGGUUCUUUUAGUACUGUUGGUCCGUUACUUCACAGGGAAUAUGCGAAACAAUGGGAGGAAGUUGUUCAUUGGAGGUAAGACAAGUAUACAUGAUGUAUGGAAAGCCUUUCUUGGGAUUCUAGCAACUCCAGUUGCAAUUGCAUCGGGUGCUAUUCCUGAAGGUUUAACGUUAGCUUGUGCACUAACCAUAGCUUACUCAACCAAGAAGAUGAUUGUUGAUCAAGCACUUGUUAGAAGUCUUUCAGCUUGUGAAGCAAUGGCCUCCGCUACUGUGAUUUGUACGAAUAAGGAAGGAGUACUGACUGAAAACACUCUGCAGGUCAGAGAGUUUUGUCUAUGUGAAGAGUAUUUUGGAAGAGGUACUUUCUCUUCAUUUGCCCCAGAAAUUCUUGAUCUGCUUCAUGAAGGAAUGGCUCUGAACACAACCAAGAUCCCACCGGGAUCUUCAUUUGAACACAUUGAGGAUCAAAUUCAAAAUGCAAUUUUGGGCUGGGGCAUCAAAAGUAUGAAUAUGGAUGUACAACAACUGAAAGAAAGAUGUACACUUGUCCAUGCUGAAAGCUUCAACUCGGAAUACCAAGGGCGUGUUUUGAUAAGGAGGAAUGCUGACAGCAGAGUACAUGUGCACCACAAAGGAACUCCAGAGGCAAUACUGGCCAUGUGUUCACGUUACUACGAGGAGACAGGGGAUGUCAAAGAUAUAAACGAUGAUACUAGAGAAGCAUUGCAGGGAAGAAUUACAAAGAUGAAAAUGGAUGGUUUGUACUGUGUUGGUUUUGCAUAUAAAAGUGUAACAGCAGAACAUCAGAUUGAUCAUGAAGGGCAUUUCCAUCCCAAGCUCAAAGAAGAUGAUUCGAUCUUAUUAGCAUUUGUCGGUCUGAAAGCUCCAUGUAGAGAACAAGCAAGGAAAGCUGUGAUGGACUGCCAAGAUGCUGGAGUGAACAUCAAAAUCAUUACAAAAGAUGAUAUCCACACCGCUCGUGCAUCAGCUAUUGAUUGUGGUAUAAUUGAUCCUCAUGACACAUCCACUGGAGAAGUCAUUGAAGGAACAACAUUCCAAGGAUAUGCUGAAGAUGAAAGAUUGGAGAAAGUUGAUAACAUUCGUGUGAUCGCAAGAGCCUCAACGCUGGACAAGCUUCUAAUGGUACGAUGCUUGCAAAAGAAAGGUCAUAAUGUUGCAGUUACCGGAGACAGAGUGGAAGAUGCAGAAGCUCUUAGAGAAGCCAAUGUGGGGCUUUCAUUGGGUAAUCAUGGAACCGAUGCAGCAAGGAACUGCUCGGAUAUUGUCAUCAUGGAUGAUAACUUUGCUUCCAUAGCUAGGGUUCUAAGUUGGGGCCGAACCACAUACAACAAUGUUCAGAUAUUCACCCAGUACCAACUAACAGCAACUAUCGCUUCUUUGGUGAUAGACUUUGUGACAGCAAUUUCAGCUAGCGAGCCCGUGACCAUCAACAUUGUCACAGUAAUUUCAGCAGGCAAUGUUCCCUAUGCAAUGCUUCAGGUACUUUGGGUAAAGCUGAUGGUGGGGACAUUAGCAGCUGUAGCUCUCACUAUCGACGGGCCUGGAACAAAGCUCAUGCAGCAGCCACCACCUGACAAAAAUGAGCCAUUUAUAACCAAUAUCAUGUGGAAAAAUAUAUUGGGACAAGCAUUGUACCUGAUCUCAGUGUUGCUUACCAUCCAAUUCACAGGUGAAUCAGGAUACCAAUUAAGCGACAAGGAAAAGGACACAAUGAUCUUCAACAUCUUUGUUCUCUGUCAACUAUUCAACAUAUUCUACCUGAGAAACUACGAAGGGGGUAUCCUCAGAGAGCUAAAAACAAAGCGGUUAUUUUGGGGGAUUGUAGGAAUGAUAGUAGUUAUCCAGUUUGCAAUGAUCGAAAUGCUGAAAGAGUUUGCAUGUACUGAGAGAUUGAAUUGGAUGAAGUGGAAAGUGUGUAUUGGGAUAGCUGCUUUAUCAUGGCCAGUUAGUUUGCUCAUAAAAUGUAUACCUGUUCCAAAGACACCUUUGUUUAGUCGUAGGAACAGCCAGAACUCUAGUUACUCAAGAUUUAGAUCAAGUGUUUGGUUAUAGCAAGUUUGCCUUCUCAAUUCCUACCAUAUUUGUUUGUUCAUUCUAUAACACUUCCAUUUGUUUGUACUUUUAUAACAUUUAUUGUUUUAAAUUUAAUAUGUUAUACAUAAUUAUACUAAAGGAAAAAUAAAGUAAUACUUUUAUUUGGUACAAAAAAAAAUCAUUAAAACUUUGUAAGAAUUAAGUGAGUUGAGUUACGACACACAUUUUAGCCCAUUGCAAAUGCCAGUCUAAAGCUUCAAAAAUCUUUGAACAUAUUAUCAGCUCAGGUAUAUAUGUUGACAAUCAUGAACAAAGUACACUAUUAUUAAUAAUGGAAUGUAACAUAAAUCAAUUAAUCAAACAGAUACUAUUAGAACUAACUAGCUUAUGACAAAAACAUACUGAACACCUAAAUCUACUCAUUUAAACAAGGCUUUCAAGUAAUUCAACCUUAGAUAACUAAAUAUUGGUCUCUCUGGAACAGUUAUGCACUUGACAAGCCAACCAAUUGGCCAAGAUGCAGCUGCAAAUCCAAUGCAGAUACCCCAUUGCCCCCAAUUCAGCCUCUCUGUAUUUGCAAACUUCUUCAGAAACUCCACCAUCACCACUUGGAGAACCAAUGUUAUUCCGAUGAUCGCCAUGAACAACUUGUUCUUGUGUAUUCCCUUAAAGACAUUCUUCUUCUCCAGGUUUCGCGCGUUGAAUUCAUUGAACACUUGGCAAAGAACAAACGUGUUGAAAAUCAAUGUAUCGUUUACCUUCUUGUUGACACCGAAGAUUGACUCUCCUUUGAAUUGUAAUGUCAAUAAAACGGCAAUCUGAUAUAAGGCCUGAGCCAUUAGAUUCCUCCACAUAACAUUGGUGAUAAGUGGUGCAGUCCAACCAACUGGUUUCUUCUUCAUGAGUUCCUUGGUUGGCUUCUCUGUCGCGAGUGCUAAUGCCCCUAAUGUGUCCAUGAACAAAUUUACCCAUAGCAAUUGUACUGCUGUGAGUGGAACCUCACCAGAUGAAAUAGCUGCUACAAAAUUGAUCACGAGCACAGCCACAUUUACUGUGAGCUGAAAUUGGAUGAAUUUCUGGAUGUUGUUAUAGACACACCUUCCCCAUUUCAAAACUGUGGCAACUGAAGCAAAGUUAUCAUCCAAGAUGACAAUAUCAGAACUCUCUUUAGCCACUUCAGUGCCAUGAAUCCCCAUAGAAAGUCCUAUAUCUGCUUCCUUUAAAGCUGGGGCAUCGUUCAUUCCAUCACCUGUGACCGCGACCACAUGACCUUUCUUUCUCAAGCACUGCACCAUUAGAAGUUUGUCAAAAGGGGAUGAUCUUGCCAUCACGCAUAUCUUCUCCACUCUCUCCAUCCGUACUUCAUCUGUUAGGUUGCGAAAUUCUUCACCUUCUAUGACCUGCUCCUUCAUCUACUUCCGGAUUAGGAUGGAGAAUCCCACAUUCUGUUGCUAUGGCUUUUGCAGUGAACACAUUGUCACCAGUAAUCAUCUUGAUGUUCACACCAGCAUUUUGGCAAGCUUCCACAGCUUUCUUCACGCCAGGUCGACAUGGAUCUUUUAGGCCAACAAUGCCCAAAAGAAUGAUAGAGUUGUCUGGAACAUUUCCAUGAAUAUGCUCAUGAUCCUCCUGCUCAGCUUUUAUCACUUGCUUGUGAGCAAAUGCGAUACAUCGAAGGCUACUGGCAGCCAUUCCUUCAAUUAUCCUAUCACAUUCUUCCUUGUCUGAUUGGUCGAGAGGUUUUACAUUCCCUUCUAGAUCAUAGUAGUGGGAGCACAUUCUUGAAAUCAUUUCAGCUGCACCUUUCCAAUGUGCAUGAAUUGUGCCAUCUGUAAUGUUCUUGAUCAGGACACCGCUCUCCUUUUUCUCUGAAUUGAAAGCUUCCAUAUGUAGAAUGUUGAAAUUUCUUUUCAUUUGAUCCAUAUCCAUGUUCAGUUCCGUAACAGCCCACAAAAGAAUAGCUUUUUCAGUAGGGCUGCCUGAGAACUCGAAGCUGGAACAUGAAUCAGUGGACUUGAAAACACUACCUGUAGUGUUUAAUCCAACACCUUGAUGUAAUAAUUCAAGAACUUUGACUGAAAUUGUUGUAUGACUUUCCGCUUUCACGUGCUGUUUGCCUAAGAAAAACUUUGUCACGGUCAUCUUAUUUAAUGUAAGAGUACCUGUUUUGUCUGUACAGAUGGUGGUGGCAGAGGCCAUAGUCUCACAUGCGGAGAGCUUCAUCACCAUUGCCUGAUCAGCCAUCAUUCUCUUCAUGGAAUAAGCCAGAGUAAGUGUAGCAGCUAAAGGCAAGCCUUCAGGAAUCGCGACAACAACAAUGGUAACAGCGGCAGCAACAAUUCCCACCACAGCAUUGAUCACAUCAUCGGAUGAUGUCUUGCUCCCGUUGAAUUCUUUUUUACCAUUCUCAUCUUUUGUGGUGCCAGUAAAGUAUCUAACCAAUAGGACAACAAGAACUAAGAAAGCAACUAGCAACCCAACUUUACCAAUCGAUGUAGUAAGCUUGUUGAGUCGUUCUUGGAGAGGGGUUUGCUCAUUAGAAUUACUGCUGAUUUGGCUCAUCAUUUCACCCCAGGUGGUGUUCAUUCCAACCGAUAUCACAAGCAUCAUGCCAUAGCCAUCGACAACCUUCGUGCCAGAAAUCAAGAAUGGAUUUUGGCUGAUAUUAAUCUCGACAUGAUCACUUUCACCUGUCAUGCUAGAUUCAUCCACUUGUAAAGAAUGGCCUUCUACCAAAAUCCCAUCAGCAGGGACUUGAUCUCCAAUCUUCAAGCAAAUGACAUCUCCAACAACAAUUUCAAAUAUCGAUAUCUGUUGGCGCCUCCCCUUUCUAACAGCUUCCACUGGAAUAUUCUUGCUCACUUUGGAAAGCUUAUCAAACUGUCUGUUUUGUCUAAAAUUACUAAUAGACGAAACAGCGCUGACAAGAAACACAGCGACAUAAAUACUCCCUCCAUCGUACCAUCCUUCUUUCAGUCCAUGCUCCUUAAUUCCAAAUCCAAGAGACAGAGCAGCACAGAGCAAAAGUAUAAUGAUGGUAGGAUCCUUGAAUGAUUCCCAAACAAACACGAAGAAACUCUUAGUAGGUGCCUUACGAUACGUGUUGCUUCCAAAAGCCUCAUGUCUACGUGCAACGUCUUCUGAAUCUCCGCUUACACCAUUAGUUGUAUCACUUUUGAGAGAAGCAGCAACACCUUGUACACCUCCAAUGUUAGCAAGUUCGUCAAAGUUUUUAUCUUUGACAAGCUUCGCUAGACUUGACUGAUCAACACCUUGUACACCUCCAGUUGUGAUUUUGUUCAUGAAUAGGUAAUGCAAGUUUUCUUCAAACAUGUUUGAUUGAAAAUGUGUGUAAUAACAAUGAUGAACAAUAAAAGGAUAAAAAUAUCAAUACUUUGUGAUUGUGUUUUUGAGUGAAGUAGUAAUAAUCCCCCGGAAGUUAAUCAUAUUAUAUAAGUACUAAUACACCGCGUAAUCAAGUUGAUGAAGUUUAGUGGGGUGCAGUCACAUGGAUAUUUCCCUAAACCGCCUUUGGGUCUCCUUUGAAAAAUGCAUAAUCUAUGGAGGGUCCUCCCCUAUUUUCUUGCGGCCCACGAUCUAAUUAAGUUGGGCUUCUUGUACAAGUGACCAAAUUGUUUAAUAAAGAGAAAAUUUUAGAAAUAACAAAUAUAAUAAGACCCGAUACAUCAAGUUUUCGUCAUAUGCGAAAUUCGGAGAAGGACUAGACUAUUAAGACAUAAAUGCCUUACGUAUAGGCUAAGUUAUUAUAAAUUAAUUAGUAUAUAUAUUUUAACUUAACUGUUAAGUAUACAUAUCAUUAUGUAGCUAGGUUUCUUUUCGUUUACAAUUUGGUCAUGUCGACAAUAUGGUCCAUGUGUGAAGUAUUUAAGUAUUUGUUUCACAAAAUAUAAUUAAUGCCAUUACCUAGUUUUGAUAUAUGUUAAUUUCAUCGACAAUGUUUAGGAGCACUUUAUAAAUCAAGAAAAAAAAUAGAAAUAAGAUGCAAUUGAUAAUUAUAUCAUGUCUUCCUAUAAUAAAUUAAGUAUAAUAAGGUAGCACAAGAAAAUCAAACAAAAUUUAGGAAUGAGAAAGGGUUCCAAAAAGAAAAUACUUAGACUUUGCAUAUAUCCACUCUCUUAAAAUCUUAGUUGUAAAAUCACGAUCGUUCAAGAAAAAAAACUAAGAAGAGACAAAUGCCUUAUUUGUUUGUAUAUUUAAAAUAAAGAUUUGAACCUUAAUUAUUCAAGUUUCAGUUAUUAAGUUUGUCUAUUUUAUUUUUUUUAAUAUUAAUUAUUCAAAUCUUAAUAUUCAAGUGUUUCUUUUUCUGUGUUUUGCAAUCACAAUUAGAGUUUUAUAGAGAAACUAAAUAGGCUAAAAAUAUUGGAGCUCGAGUACUCCAACAAGGUAGAAACUAGGGUUGCAUAUUUUUCCAAUUUUCCAUUUUCGGUUAUGAUUCGUAGACAUGCUAAAUUAUUUUAGAAUCAUUAAGAUAUUGCUUGUCGAUUAUUGGUGAUUGAUCGUUACUGAUUUGGUUAUCAGUUUAACAGUUACCAUUUGACACACAAUAAUAAUAAUUGAAAAUCAUUCAGAGUUGACAGAUUGCAUCUUGUUCAAAAGUAAACACCGACACUUUAUAGGAUAAUCGAAAGUUUGAGACAAUAAAAAAUAAAAGUAUGCAACUAAACUCUGAGUCAAGUAUUUAUAUAUAUAUACAUAUAAAUAUAAUUAUAAGUUAACUAGUCUAUACUACCUUAAAAGCAUGAACUCCUAAGCUGAAUGUUGAAUUACUAUAAUACCCCCAAUUAAAAAUACUCAAUUUAUUUUAUUUAUUAAUUUAAUUAUUUAUAUUAUAUUAAAAGUAGAUACCCUUUCAUAUUAAAGGGUUGUGAUUUUCUCAAAGAGAUGUGACUUUUCCAAAGGGUUGCGACUUUUUUGACGGGUCUUGACAUUUUUGAUGAGUUGUGAUUUUUUCGAAGGGUUGUGAUAUUUUCAAAGGGUUGUGGCUUUUCCGAUGAGUUGUGACUUUUGCAAAAGGUUGUGAUUUUUCCGAUGAGCAGUGAUUUUUUCAAAAGGUUGUAACUUUUUUGAUAAGGAACAAUUAGCACCUAUUCAUACUACUAUUUGUUAGCUAUAAAUAGAGGGUUUCCUCUCACUUUAAAACUACGAUUUUUUAAAAAGUUUUCUACUCUUCUUCUUCUUAAAAAAUCUCAGGUUAUUUGCAACAGUUGAUUAAGUUCAAAAUUCAACGAAAUUCGAGGUACCACAUAAGAAAGAGUUGGUGAACAAAUUGUAGCAAAUCAUUCAUAAAUUCACACUCGUAUUUUUUUCUUACGAUUUCCAUGAGUUAACAGUGACGAAAAAGUUGUGGGAAAGACAAUAAUAAUAAACAAAUAUGAAAAAAAAUCACAUGAUUUGGGUAAGAUAUUUCUUCUUUGGUUUUUUAUUUUUUAUUUUUUUACUCUCAAAAUGAAGCAGUUUCUUUCUGAUUUUACUAAAAUCAUGGGCAUCAACGCAGUCCAUUGAAUCAUUAGUUUGAUGUUAAAUCCACUAUUUCAAAUAUAAAUUUUCACUUUUACUUAAUAUGAUAAUAUAGACAUGGUAAUAAUUAAUUUUAAUAGAUAUGUAAGUAAAAUUGAACAAAGAAAGUAAAGUGUUAGUGACAAGAGAUUUUAAUCAAAUGGAACNNNNNNNNNNNNNNNNNNNNNNNNNNNNNNNNNNNNNNNNNNNNNNNNNNNNNNNNNNNNNNNNNNNNNNNNNNNNNNNNNNNNNNNNNNNNNNNNNNNNNNNNNNNNNNNNNNNNNNNNNNNNNNNNNNNNNNNNNNNNNNNNNNNNNNNNNNNNNNNNNNNNNNNNNNNNNNNNNNNNNNNNNNNNNNNNNNNNNNNNNNNNNNNNNNNNNNNNNNNNNNNNNNNNNNNNNNNNNNNNNNNNNNNNNNNNNNNNNNNNNNNNNNNNNNNNNNNNNNNNNNNNNNNNNNNNNNNNNNNNNNNNNNNNNNNNNNNNNNNNNNNNNNNNNNNNNNNNNNNNNNNNNNNNNNNNNNNNNNNNNNNNNNNNNNNNNNNNNNNNNNNNNNNNNNNNNNNNNNNNNNNNNNNNNNNNNNNNNNNNNNNNNNNNNNNNNNNNNNNNNNNNNNNNNNNNNNNNNNNNNNNNNNNNNNNNNNNNNNNNNNNNNNNNNNNNNNNNNNNNNNNNNNNNNNNNNNNNNAUAUAUAUAUAUAUAUAUAUAUAUCUAAAACAAAGAAUUGGUCAAGCUAAGUAAUUGACAUCCACUCAAACCACUACCUACUUUAGGUAUAUAAGUUAUGGGCCCUAGGGCUGAUUAAAUUUAUUCUAAGACAUUUUUGCUAAAGUAAUCAAUCAUAUGUGCUACUCUUUUCUACGAAUGAAAGCGACACCAUUAUCUUUUUAUUUUUGUACAUUUAAUAACAUCAUAUUAUAGUAAUACAAAAUAAUGUCAUGAUAUAUUUUAAAUUAUAAACUUUAAAAGUUUUUUUUUCCCCAUAAGAUUCUUAUUGAAUCAAACAACAAAAUUUGUACUUAAAUGGUGUACAUCAUUUGUGUUCAUAACCUCAAGAGGAAAGACUAUUGGUGACAUUUUUUGUAUUGAUAUUUAAAAAAAAAAAUUUGUUGGUUAGAUUUGUUUACAAAAUUGAGUGAAGCAAUAAUAAUACUACUAAAGAAAUGUCACUUUCUCCCCAUAUAUAAACUUUGAAAUGUAUUUUGAAAUGUUUCAAUAAUAUCUGGUCAUUUUGAUCUCAAAAUACAAGUAACUCUAUGGCAAUCAAUAUUAAUCAUUUGAAAGCACUUGUCCUAUGUUCUUUAAGUUAUAAUUAUUUACUAAAAAACAUUAAUUUAGUAAUAUUAAUUCUAUUUUACAAAAUCAUAUACUAUAUAUAUACGAUACACACGUGCAACGCACGUGCUGUGAAACUAGUUAAGAAAAAAGCACCAAAAUAUUAAAAACCGAUAACCCAUAGUAAAACUAAUCAAAACCAUUAUCGAAAUAAAUCAAUAAAUUCUGGUUAACAUUUCAAUUCAGAUACUAGAAACAAUGUCUUUGCAAUAUAUCAUAGUGGCGCGAAAAGUAAUUGGAAAGGAAGGCUCUAAUUCUGCUAUCAGUGUCACAUGAUUUCAUUCAUCUUUCAACUUUCCAAUCCCCAAAUUGAUGCGUGACUGAGUAGGUCAUAUUAGGAAGAGAGAUACAAAAUCACCGGUACCGGAAAGUACUUCUGACUGAAAAUUCUCAGGCAUUGCAUCGGCCAUCGGCCAUCGGCCAUCGGCGAUCAGUCUAUAUUGCAUAAACUGAAAGAGGUAACAAACUGACAUCUCUUCUCAUCCCUUGGGAUCCACAUUACACACAUUUUCCACUUCUGAACCCUGCUGUGAUCAACCUGAAAACAAGUUUUAUUGCAUUAUGAAUUCUAUGAUGAUUGACAAGGAUUGAAUUAGGAAAAUGGACUUUGUCUACGUAGAGAAUAGCAGAAGAAAAGUAUAAUUGGGGAAACGUUCGGCCAGUUCAAUAUCGUUAAGGAAGAUUUUGGAUAAGAGAAUGCCUAAUGUCAUCUCUAUUUUUACUUGUCUAGAUGCUUCUAGAAAUUAUUGUAGAUGUAAAAAUCUGGAUAACUUCAUCAUCUAGCUAUGAAUCUAGAACUUUUAGAUCUAGCUUUAAGAUUAGAUCAUUCUAGAAGCUUUCAUAAAAAAUCUAAGUUUUUUUUGUAGUUCCAAAAAAUUAACUUUAAUUUUUUCAGUUUAUUUGUUGAAUAUCUUUAGUCUUUACUACUGAGAGGUGGAGAAAUUUGGAUAUGCAAAGGGAGAAACUCUGGACUUGACACUUUUAGAUAUGUUCAACUAUUAAGGUGAUUCCAUUGCACUUUUAAGUUUUAAAAAAUGUGAGUUCAGAAUUUGAUAUUUUAGCAAUUUUUAACUGUAAAUCUAUGCUCUGUAACUGUAGUAGAAGAAUUCUGUACAACUCUUUAUUUAGAAACAUACCAUAGAGAAAUACAAGUAGUGAGUAAUAAAUGAAUGCAACAUAAAUCAACCAUUUCACAACAAACUAAUACAAUUACAACAAACUAGCUUAUGGACCAAAAAAAAAUGAACAUCUAUAUUUACUCAAUUUUAACCUGAGAUAACUGAAGAUUGGUCUCUCUGGGACAGCUAUGCACUUGACAAGCCAACCAAUUGGCCAAGAUGCAGCUGCAAAUCCAAUGCAGAUUCCCCAUUGCCCCCAAUUCAGCCUCUCUGUAAUUGCGAACUUCUUUAGGAACUCCACCAUCACCACUUGGAGAACCAAUGUUAUUCCGAUGAUUGCCAUGAACAACUUGUUCUUGUGUAUUCCCUUAAAGACAUUCUUCUUCUCCAGGUUUCGCGCGUUGAAUUCAUUGAACACUUGGCAAAGAACAAAUGUGUUGAAGAUCAAUGUAUCGUUUACCCUCUUGCUGACACCAAAGAUUGAUUCUCCUCUGAAUUGUAAGGUCAAUAAAACAGCAAUCUGAUACAAGGCCUGAGCCAUUAGAUUUCUCCACAUAAUGUUGGUGAUAAGCGGUGCAGUCCUACCGACUGGUUUCUUAUUCAUGAGUUCCUCGGUUGGCUUCUCUGUCGCAAGUGCUAA
rnacentral:lncRNA from 1 species